UUUCUUUUAAUAUAAAAUCUGUAGUAAAUGUCAAAAAACUCUUACCCUAAUUCAGUAUUUACGUACUCUGUCAUUGCCAACCUAACAACAUAAUUAUUUUCUCUUCUUCUUCUCUUCCACUUUCACGCUUCUCUCCUCCUUCUCCUUCAUCUCUUUCUCCUUCAUCUCCUUCUUCUUCUUCUUCUUCUUCUUCUAGAUUUUUCGAAAUCUUUCACUUUUCUCCUCCUUCAUCUCUUUCUUCUUCUUCUUCUUCUUCUUCUUCUUCUAGAUUUUUCGAAAUCUAUCUCUUCUUCCUCUUCUAACCAUCAACAAAACUCUAAAUCUCUUUUUCUCCAUGGAUCUUUCUUUCCUCUCUUCGAUCUUCUCAUUCUAGAUCCAUAGAUCUUCGUUUUUCUCACAGAUCUGAGAUUAACAAUAAUCCCGAUCUAGAUUUCUCCAAAUCGGCUUAGAAUCGGUGGUGGAGGAGAAUCGGUGGUGGAAGAGAAUCGGCGGCGGUGGACAAUGAACAAAGCAAGAAGAGACGAUGAUGGCGCUAGGGUUUAUAAUUAUGUAUCAGUUGUACCAGUUGUCUAGUUGUCCCUAUUUAUGUAUCAGUUGUACCAGUUGUCUAGUUGUCCCUAUUCAUAUGUUAGUUGUACUAGUUGUUUCAAUUGUACUAUUAUAUUUCAGUUGUACCAUUUGUACCAAUUGUUCAUAUUUAUAUAUAGUUGUACCAGUUGUACAAUUAUAUUUCAGUUGUACCAUUUGCACCAGUUAUCAUACAAUCUCUUAUUUGUACCAGUUGUAUUAUUAUUUCUUAGUUGUACCAAGUUGUACUAUUCCGUACCAAUUCGCCCUAAUUUCAUUAAGGGUAAUUUGAGGAUAUCACAUUUAUGGUGACACUCAGAUUAUAAGGUGGCACGCCACAUUGAUUUUUCCCACAUAGUGGCAUAGGUGACUCGGACUCUAAGACCAUCUGCAUUGGGGGAUCACCCCCCCUGAUCUAAGCAUUAUUUAAAUCCAAAAAAAUGGGUCAAUGGGCUUAAGAUCAGGAACUGGGCUCUUGACCUGGAUCUGUUCUUGUGGGUGUUGCGGGGUGACGUGGCAUUUGGGCAUUGGUUGGAAUAUUCAACAUAUUUGGAAUAAAUUUGGAUAAUAAACUAUGUAUUAAUUAGAUAAAAUGUUUUUGUGCUUUUAUUAAGUAAUAUGUUUAUUUGUUUAUUGUUAUUUAUAUUUUUAAUGUUUUUUCAUAAAUAUUUAGUAUUGUAUUUUCACUUUUAUUUUCAGUUUUUCAUAAAUUUGGCAUUUGCAAUUUAUAUGUUAUUUUUAAAUGUUUUAAUAAUUGUAAAAUCUUAAUUUAAUUUAGAUUAUUAUAUUAUUAAGUCUUAAGAUCUUACACAUGUUCUCCCACUAAUCAACUUCUAAACAAAAGAUCUAAACACAUGAUCUUACAUUAUUUUAACAUUAUAUUCUCUAUAAGAACACCCUCACAUGAUCCCCCAUUGAUGAUGCCCUAAGAUCUCUCUCCCACCAACUCUCUUCACACUUCACUAUACUUCAGAGUUUUGAGAUUCCUCAAGAUCAACGAUAAUGGCGGCAUCGACGAACUCAUUCCUCAUCGGAAACCAAACACAAAUCCCUUCCCUGAAACCCAAAUCAAUUUCCCAAUCCUUCAUCCACUUCACCAAACCUAACACCAUCAACCUCACCACCAGAACCACAUCCAUUUCAAUUCGAUGCGCUUCAACCACCGUCGGAUCCGAGCAACGAGUCUUCAAUUUCGCCGCCGGUCCAGCCGCAUUACCGGAAAACGUCCUCCUUAAAGCUCAAUCAGAUCUCUAUAACUGGCGUGGAUCUGGUAUGAGUGUCAUGGAGAUGAGUCACCGUGGUAAAGAGUUUCUCUCAAUCAUUCAAAAAGCUGAAUCUGAUCUCCGUCAGCUUCUCGAGAUUCCAUCGGAAUAUUCCGUUUUGUUCUUACAAGGCGGUGCCACUACUCAAUUCGCUGCUUUACCUCUAAAUCUCUGCAAAUCUGAUGAUUCCGUUGAUUACAUUGUUACUGGAUCUUGGGGAGAUAAAGCUUUUAAGGAAGCGAAGAAAUAUUGUAACCCUAAAGUUAUUUGGUCUGGUAAAUCUGAGAAAUAUACUAAAGUUCCAUCUUUUGAUGGAUUGGAGCAGACUUCGCACGCCAAGUAUUUGCAUAUAUGCGCCAAUGAGACUAUUCAUGGAGUUGAAUUUAAAGAUUAUCCUGUUGUUAAAAACCCUGAUGGUAUUCUUAUUGCUGAUAUGUCUUCCAAUUUCUGUUCGAAGCCGGUGGAUGUAUCGAAAUUCGGUGUGAUUUACGCGGGUGCGCAGAAGAAUGUUGGUCCUUCUGGUGUCACCAUUGUGAUAAUUCGAAAGGAUUUGAUUGGGAAUGCUCGUGAUAUAACUCCGGUGAUGCUUGAUUACAAGAUUCAUGAUGAGAACAGCUCGUUGUAUAACACGCCACCGUGUUUCGGGAUUUACAUGUGUGGUCUUGUGUUUGAUGAUUUGUUGGAGCAAGGUGGGUUGAAGGAAGUGGAGAAGAAGAAUCAGAGGAAAGCUAUGUUGUUGUACAAUGCAAUUGAUGAGAGUAGAGGUUUUUUCAGGUGUCCUGUUGAGAAAUCUGUGAGGUCUUUGAUGAAUGUUCCUUUUACGUUGGAGAAAUCGGAAUUGGAAGCUGAGUUUAUUAAAGAAGCUGCUAAGGAGAAGAUGGUGCAGCUUAAGGGACAUAGAUCAGUGGGAGGUAUGAGAGCUUCUAUUUACAAUGCAAUGCCGUUGGCCGGUGUCGAGAAGCUAGUUGCUUUCAUGAAAGAUUUUCAGGCAAGGCAUGCUUGAUUCUUUUUGCUUUCUGGUCAUCUUGUUGUGUAUUAAGUAAGCUUUGAUGCUUAUGAUUUUGAGUUUUUGUUUCAUCUUCUGUACUUGAAUUCCGAAUGUCUGCGGAAUUUUUCGGUAAUAAUAAUUUGAGAUGCUAGAUUCAUUUUCAAGCAAGAAUCAUUUACACUUUUAUGUUUGUCUGAGAUUGGAGUUGAGACGGGAGAAGAUGAACUGAAAACUUCCAGUGAUCAAAAUCUUUUGUUGAACAACUUAUUGAGGAAAUGCUGACAUUGGCUUAUGAUGAUAAGCAAAUUGCAUACAAGGAUCUCAUGAUUUGCAGUUAGUGUGUCCUUUCUCUGUAUCUCCUGCUGAAAGUGAUGGUCCUGUGUUCAAGACACGUAAAAUAGGUAAUUCAGGUUCAGAUCUCUAAAUAAACUGUAGUUCCAAACUCUGCAUAGCAGUGUUCAUUCUAAGUGUGUAAAUUACCGUUAGAUUGUGCCCCUCUGUAACCAUCAGCUACAUGUCGAAAGAACUCUUUAGUAGCAUCUGCAUAUCCGUUGAAGAACAGCCAAUACUAAAUCCAAGCGAGACAGACAACAGAGCCAGAAGAACACAAGAAUCUGAAAACUCACCGUAUUUCAUUGCUAGAGACGGGUCUUGCUCUUCCAUGACCCUGAUCAGUUUCGCAGGAUUUCCAGCCACCACACUUCAAAAAUACAAAGAGGGUGUCCAUUGUUACUAAACAAAAUAGUGUCAAGUCAUGAAGUUUUGUCAGAUGCAUUUCUCUUUUUAUACCUAUGCGAAGGAACGUCCUUUAACACAAGUGAACCUGCAGCUACCAUUGCCCCAGCACCUACACUUAUGUUGCCAAGUAUAGUCACACAAGCUCCAAGCAAUGCACCUUCACCUAUUUUUGGGUGACGAUCGCCAGUUUCCUUUCCGGUUCCUCCUAAAGUCACACCCUGUGAUAGUGAAAACUCAAGUAGCCUUGAAAAACUGAAAAAAUCAUGAUCUUGGUAAUGAAUUUUCAGGCAAUGAUUUGGAUAAGAGAUGCUUACAUGUAAGAUCGAGACACCGUUGCCUAUCACAGCGGUCUCACCGAUGACCACUCCGGUUCCAUGAUCCAACAAUAUUCCCUCCCCAAUUCUUGCCGCUAUGCAGAAAGAGAAUUCAAGCAAUAUGUAUAACGAGCAAUCAAUUUACCGGUAAACCUGAUCAACUAAUACACCAGAGAAGGGAAAUUGAGAAUGUUCAAAAAGAUGAGAGCAGAGAUAUGAAGCUCAAACUCUACCUGGAUGUAUGUCGAUUCCAAAAACCUGAGAGAACCACAGCAUAGAUCAGACAUUGAGCUGAAAAUGCAACUCUAAAUUCAGUAAGCAAAAGACAAUGAUCUCCAAAACCACCUCGCUUAUUCGACUUUGCAAUGCAAGAGCUAAUAGUUUCCGCCCUUCAUUCCACAGUUUAUGUGCAACCCUAUAUGCUUGCAACGCGUGAUACCCCUGUAGAACAAAACGUAUGCCAGAGGGAAAACCUCUUAAGCUUCACUCAUUCUGUGUGAGAGAUGUUCUGUCUCCAAAAAUUCAACUAAAGAUUUACCUUCAGAUGUAAAAUAGCAGAACUAUACGAGAGACAAGCAGGAUCCCGGUCUUUAAACGCCUGCAAUCAUUAUGGCACAUAAGAAAACAGCCUCAAAACAAACAAGAUCAUGUCUACCCACAGGUAUUAGAUGAGUGUUAUACCUGAAUAUCAUGGCGAAUCGAACUCUGAAUACCUUUGUCAUGCAUCAUAACACCAUAAAAUAUGUCCAAAAGUUGAGUUGCCAGCAAGGUUGGGUUUUGGAGACGGUUGGCUAGAACAAACCCUAAAGCUUGCUCUAAACAAUCAUGUGCCAAGAUACCAGCAUACAAGAAGCUACUCAAAAUAGGCUCUCUCUCUGCCUGUAACCACAACAAGAUUCACCAUUGUAAGAUUCAACAAAUUUACAAACUAUAUAAAGCCUAGAACACUAAACACUGUACUCAAUCAAACAACCUUCAAAGUGUAUCCAUGUGUGAUAAUGAUCAAUGGAGCGAUUGAACUUUCAACGAGAGAUACAAGAAUGACUUACUCUUAACCCUAAUGGAUACAUUUACUACUUUAUAACAACUGUGGAUUAACAUGGAGACACAAAACCAUAACUUUUUUUAUCUGAAUAAGAGUGAGAAUCGAUGAAGCAGAUAAAGUGUUAGAAUUUGAGGAAGAAACCUCAAGCUUAGCUUCUUCUCUUAUAGCAUCCCAAAUAGGAUCAGAACGAGAAUCAAGCAAAUUCGAGUCAAACUCUGACUUAUGCGUUCCCUUAGCGUAAACUUCGAAACCCCUCUCGAAAGGAAGCUCAUCGCCGUUCAUAUCUCCAAGAAGACGAUGAAGAAGAAUCACAAACUCUUUUGAUUGGAUAAAAGAGAGACGGAGAAAGCAAAAAGGAGGCUACUUUAAUGGAUAUUAUGCAAAACUUUGAAAACCCUUUUUAUCUUUUUUUUUUUAUUAACUAAGUGGAUUCUCUUGAUGGUCGUUGUUGAUGUUUGGUUUCUCGUUGAUCUUGUGUUGUGUUGUGUCCCAGUGUCCACCGCUUUGAAUGGUUCUACAAAUUCAUAUCAUUUGUAUAUAUUUUUUGUUGGCUUUGGCCUUAUCUGGUCGCGACCGUAAUUGAGUCCAAGUUCGUUAUUGUGAUUAGGGUCUCUUAAUCAGAUAAUUGUUUUUUAAUCAAGAGGGAUCAAAUAAUAUUUUUUAAAACAUUAUUAUAGUUGAAUCUUAAUCGUAUUCCUCGGGGCUCGAGAGGGGGAAUAUGAAUAUUGUACAAGGUAGAGAGACCCACCACAAAUGAUGCCAACUUGUCGUAUGUUUUGUUUAUAGAUUAUAUAAAUGUCCGAAUUGUACUGAACCUCCUUUUUUUUUUUUUGGUGAGUGAAUUGUACUAAAACUCUAUAUUCAUGUUAACCAUUAAUAACCAACAAAUUUCUUCUAUUUACUUUCAUUAGUUUUUUUCAUUAUACAGCCUGAGAUUCUGUUUUUGCGUUAAUUAUCAGAGAAACUAUAGACGAUUUUUUUUUGGAAGUUCGGAAAACAUGCCUCAGAAAAUGUUUGCUUGUGGCAAUGACGAGGAGAAUUCAAAUUCUUUAGAGCUGAAGCAAUCUCGUAAAUGUCCGAGUUUCGCGGUGUUUUCUCUCCAGACUUCGUUGGUUGUUUUGCUUUAUUUUCUUAGACCAUUUCCAACCAUGGUUUUUUAGUAGAAUCUUAAGCUUAAGAUGACUAAAAUUAAGCUUAAGAUGACUAAAAUUCAAUCAUUAAUCAUUUAAAAGAUUAAGAAAUAACUCUUAUUUAAGAGGUUUUUGUUAGUGUAAGAGACGCAUAUGUGUCGAAAUUGUAUUUGUAAAAUAAAAAGAAGAAAACAAAAAUCAAUCUCUCUCUCUCUCUCUCUCUCUCUCUCUCUCUCUCUCUCUCUCUCUCUCUCUCUCUCUCUCUCUCUCUCUCUCUCUCCGAUUAUUGUUAUAUCCGGUGAAUCCAUCGGCCGUUAUCUCAUCAUCUCAACUGACACCGGCUCUCCCGGCGCAUUUGGAUCAUUAAAUCGGCGAUUUAGGAUUUAAUAUCUGAUAUUUUCACCCAAUCUCCGAGUCUUUUCAUCAACUCUGACAAAAUCCGUCAGCAAUCUAUUUUUCAUGGUAGGAAUCUCAUUAUGUAAGUACUAAUUGAUGUUAUUUGAUUUCUCUUUGAGUGUUUUGAAAUUAGGGUUCAUAGAUUUGGGAAAUUUCGGGUUUUUCGUAGUUAGUGAAAUUAGGGUUAUUUGAAGCAAUUAUUAGUAUGUUUCUGUGUUCUUAGGCAUGAUUGUAAUUACGGUAAACGUAAUUUGCCAAGAGUACUACCGAUUUCAGGCAGAGAUAGUUCGUUUCCAUCAGUUUUGUAAUUGUUUUGAUUCAUACAUGGUGUGAGCUUAAAUUUAUUCAUAAAUUUGAAUAGUUUUUGUUUUUAAACGCAUGAUUUUUUGGUUUGUUUGAGAAGUUCGUUUGUAAAUGAUAAGGUUUUGCUAAUUACCACAUGAAAUUGAUCAAAACUUUUGUGUUUUAUUAUGAGGGUAAAAGGAGGAACUUGGACUGAUGAAUUGAGAUGGAAACUGCAAUUCAUCAACCACUGAAGAAAGGUAAUGCAUCAUCCUCCCCUGUAUUGAGUUUGUAGAUAUAGAUUAGGUUAGAUUUGAGUCAUGUAUUGAUUGCUUUGUGUUGGUUUGUGAUAAAUACUUGUUUAGUGUCUUCUACUGAUGGGUAAGUAAACGUCUCUUCUUCUUUUAACUAUUUUCCAUUUCCAUUUACUCAUCUGAAUAUUCAUGAUAUAGAUUAGGUAAGACUUGAGUUUUAUUGAUCGGUAGUGUCUGUUUUGUGAUAAAUGCAUUUUAGUAUCUUUAAUUGUUUCUUUUGUGUCUGUUUAGAUGUUGAUUAGGACGGUCUACAUCUAUUGAUUUCUUUGUGUAUAUGGUCUAUGUGUUCACUUCUUGUUUGCUUUUGAUUAGGUAAAGUUUUAAAAUUUACCAUUGAAUGCUAACUCUACAAACCACAAAUAUAACCUAACACAAACCACAACUUUUAGUAUCUAUACCCGCAGCUUAAGCCACACUAAUUCUCUUCAUUAUUCUCUUUCAUUCCCCUUUUAAAACUCCCAGAAACUUUUUCUUCAGGCUAAAUGAAUCCAUAUACUAAUUAUGUUGGCUUCAUGGACUUUUUAACCAGUCAACAAGAAACCACAUGCCUUCAUCCCAAUACUUAAUGAGUCAGAAUCACCAAGUAUUGUAGUUGGUGAAUCUGAAGUCUCUGUCUUCAGCAUCCAGUGGUCUGAAGCUCCAAGUCAAGGUGAAAACAACAAUGCUAACCGCAUACCAAGAAAGAGAAACAAGUUGUCAAGGAAAAAAGAUGUGGUGCUAAUCUCUGCGUGGUUAAACACAAGCAAAGAUGCCAUAGUAGGUAAUGAGCAAAGAGGAGACGUUUUCCGGAAGCGCAUUGCAGCCUAUUUUGCAGGUAGUCCCCAAGUUUCUUGUCUGAAAAAGAGGCUGCCAAGUCACUUUAAACAAAGAUGGGGAAAGAUUAACGAGAAUGUAUGCAAGUUUUUGGGAUCCCAUCAAGCUGCAACAACUCAGAUGGCGAGUGGACAAAAUGAUAAUGAUCUGAUGAAGCUAGUCCACCAAAUUUGUGAAAGUGAUUACAAGAAGAAGUUCACCAUGGAUUCUGCUUGGAGAGAGUUAAGACAUGAUCAGAAUUGGUGUGCAUCACAGUCUAUUAAAGAGACUGUGAUGAGUAAAAGAAAAAAGGCCGAGGAUGGUGCUGCACAUUCUUCAGGCUCUAAUCCAAUAAGCCAUGGAGGGGCUGAAGCUUCCCAAACUCGUCCACCUGGUGUGAAGGCUGCCAAGGGUAAAGGCAAAAGAAAUGCCAACAAUUCACCAAAUGUGGAAGGAGAAAGGAAUGCAUUGGAAAGGAUCCAAAGUUUGUGGGAAAUAAAGUAAGAAGAUUUUGCUUUGAAAGAUUAGUUUACCAACAAGAAAUUGCUUGAUAGUCUUCUAGCAAAAUCUGAGCCUCUUAGUUAAUUAGAACUGAAGAACAAGCUAAUUAGAGACAUGUUGUCAAGCUAAUUAGUUUGGAAUAAGUAAUCUACUUUUGUAUCAAGCUAAUUUGUUUUUAAGUUUCUGUUACUCCUUGUAUUUUCAGUUGCAAUAUUAGUUGCUUUGUAUUUCUGUUUAGGCUAUUCUACUUAAUCCAAGAUGACUUUAUGUUUCUAGCAAUCUAGUUCAUGUUAUGUAUAAAUGAACAAUUUGUUUGAUGUGUUUAGUGUGUUUGAUCAGAAUAGUUUAGUUUAAGUCAUAUUUUUGUGGCAUAUAUUGAUGUUUUUGUGUCUUUGUGUAGGUUAAUCAAAUAGAUGAAGGACAUGUUCACGUGAAAAGAAUCGGACAAAGACAAAGAGUACAUGGAGACAGACCACAUAUUUUUUUUUGUCAAUGUUUGUAUUUGUGUUUGUGUCUUUGUUUUUUAUUUUCUACUUAAUCCCAAAAUUCAUCUUUGCUACUUAAUCCAAAAAUUCAAAUCUUUUCUAAUUUUUUUUUUCUUUAAAGAGUUCACCGGUGAAUACACACAAAAUAGUAAACUAUUACGCAACCUCUUAAAUAAAAAAAAUUCAAAAUUAAUAUUAAAAUAAAUCAUAAGAGCUAAUACUAAGAAAAACUAGUUGAGGAUGGUUUUAUCGUAUUUUUUUCUUUUUCAAACUUGAAAAAAAUAUAAAUACUUAACAUUAAUAUAUAAAAAAAUUAGAAAAAUUUCUUAAUAUACAGUAGUACUACACUUUUUUUUUUUUUGACGUCUAGAUUUAUUAUUUAUUGCAAAUUAUGAGAACUGUUACAUAGACGAUUCUACAACGGACAAUUCCUUCCGACCCUUAUUAGAUCCACGACAGACGACACUUCCUUCUCCAUGCUCUUGACGGACAUCUUCAAUGAUCCACGACCUGACGACACUUCUCUCUGUGUAGAAUCCUGGCGAACGGCUAUAAUUGUACUUUUCGCUGGAGAUCUCCUGCACACUUGCCUCUUUUAAUCUGCUAAUUUUAUUAAUAAAUCGCAAUAUCAGGGACUCGAACCCCAGAUUUCUUGGUGUAGAAGCAUUAAUUAACCUUUGGUGAACCAAUAAGACAAAGGAGCUUCCACUACAGUACUACACUUUUUGUUGUAAAAAAUACAGCUAUCAGUUUAAUAUUUCAAAAUUACCACCAAAUUUUUGAAACAAAUGGUAAUUGGUAAUGUUUUUCUAUCAGUUAAUUAUACACCGAUACACGGUUAAUAAACGUUAAUCACGAGGCACGACUUUCAUUAGAAUUAGAGCACGUGAGUUCCCCAGAACAGAAUCAUAUCAAACUCGUCUUAAUUAGGAGAUAAAGUUUCAAUUUUUUGAGAAGUCAGAAGUCGAACAAUAUCCAAAUCAAAGUGUUAACCAUGAGAUUCUUGUUAUCCAAAAGAGCAUUCAAAAUCUUCACUCCACGUUUCCAGAGACUGUGGUUCACUUAUUCUCCCUUCUCCUCAACCCCGAAUCCCGGCGAUUCCGAGCCGGAAUCAUGGAGAACUAUGGAGGGUCUUCUCCGAUCCCCUGCAAAUUUCUCUCCUUUAUCUCCAAUCACGUUCUUGGAACGAUCCGCAAAAGUUUACAGAGACAGAACCUCUCUUGUGUUUGGUUCCGUUAAACAUACUUGGUUCCAAACUUAUCAACGUUGUCUCCGUCUUGCUUCUGCUCUUACCCACCUCGGAAUUUCUCGUGGCGAUGUGGUUAGUCUCUUAAAUUGUUCAAUUUCUUGAUCCGAUUUAGGUUUAGUGAUAAAUGAGGAUCCUUUUUAGGUUGCAGCUUUGGCACCUAAUGUUCCAGCAAUGCAUGAGCUUCAUUUCGCUGUUCCUAUGGCUGGUUUGAUUCUUUGUCCGCUUAAUACUCGACUUGAUCCUUCCACAUUGUCGGUUUUGUUAGCACAUUCGGAGGCCAAAAUCCUCUUUGUUGAUCACCAGUUACUUGAGAUUGCUCAUGGAGCUCUUGAUCUUCUUGCCAAAUCAGAUAGAACAAGAAAAAGUCUGAAGCUUGUGUUGAUCUCUCAGUCUAAUGAUGAUGGUUAUGAUAGCUCAUCUAGCUUUGCUUCAAAGUACUCGUUUGAUUACGAAUAUGAAACUCUGCUUAAAUCCGGAAAUACUGAAUUCGAGAUAAUCAAACCGAGAUGCGAAUGGGAUCCUAUUAGUAUAAACUACACUUCAGGAACGACUUCAAGACCUAAAGGUGUAGUUUAUAGCCAUAGAGGAGCUUAUCUUAAUUCUCUUGCUACAGUUUUUCUUCACCAGAUGUCUGUUUAUCCAGUUUAUUUAUGGACUGUGCCGAUGUUUCACUGUAACGGAUGGUGCCUUAUUUGGGGAGUAGCAGCUCAAGGCGGUACUAAUAUAUGUCUCAGGAAAGUCUCUCCUAAGCUGAUCUUUAAGAACAUUGCUAUGCAUAAAGUGACUCACAUGGGAGGAGCCCCAACCGUGCUGAAUAUGAUUGUGAACUCUCCUGUGACCGAACAUAAACCGCUUCCUCACAGGGUUGAGAUCAUGACAGGUGGGUCACCGCCUCUGCCACAGAUUCUGGCUAAGAUGGAAGAAUUAGGUUUCAAUGUAUCUCAUCUUUACGGUUUAACAGAGACAUACGGUCCAGGGACACAUUGCGUGUGGAAACCUGAAUGGGAUUCUCUUUCAUUGGAGGAGAGAACUAAAUUGAAAUCUAGACAAGGAGUGCAGCAUUUGGGUCUAGAAGGGCUCGAUGUGAAAGAUCCGGUGACAAUGGAGACUGUCCCUGAUGAUGGUGUAACCAUGGGUGAAGUUAUGUUUAGAGGAAACACCGUGAUGAGUGGAUACUUCAAGGACUUAGAGGCAACACGAAAAGCUUUCGAAGGAGAUUGGUUCCAUAGUGGUGAUCUCGCUGUUAAGCAUCCGGACGGGUACAUAGAAAUAAAAGAUCGGUUAAAAGAUGUGAUAAUCUCAGGAGGAGAAAACAUAAGCUCGGUGGAGGUCGAAAGAGUUUUGUGUAGCCAUCAAGCGGUUCUUGAAGCCGCUGUUGUGGCACGUCCGGAUAAUCAUUGGGGACAGACUCCUUGCGGGUUCGUGAAGCUGAAAGACGGGUUUGAUACCAUCAAACCCGAGGAGAUUAUCGGGUUCUGUAGAGAUCAUUUGCCGCAUUACAUGGCUCCAAAGACUAUUGUUUUCGCGGACAUACCUAAAACUUCGACAGGGAAAGUACAAAAGUAUCUUCUGAGGAAGAAAGCUGAUGAAAUGGGUAGCUUGUGAUCGCCAUGUAAGAAACAAAAAAGCUUGGUCUCUGGUUCAUGUGUGUAUAAGGAAACAAAGAUCAGAGAAUCACAAAACCACCGCGUGAAAAAGAAGAAACAGAUCAGCCAUGGAUAUGAUUUGGCUAUAAUUAGAUUUGUUACGCGGAAAGGCCAACGAUUUUGUACCUCAGAAAGAUUUUAAGACAUUAAAAAAAGAAAGAAGAAGCCAAUAGAAUAUUCCGCCGUGUCUGAAACGAGUCCAUUUCGUAGGAAGAUUUCAAAACACAAUCUUACUUAUCUGUUUUUUUUUUCUCUCUCUUCUUGUUCAAUCUCUCCAUUAUAAAUAAGUCUGCAUCGUGUGAUAGAAUCUUUAAACAAAACCAUCGACUUAUCAAGAAGAAGAAGAAGAAGAAGAAGAAAAGUUUUUCUUUUGAGAAGAUUGUUACUUUCUUGAUCGAAAAUGGCAUCGAAUGAAGCUGGAAGGGCAUUGCCGAAAUUCGGGGAAUGGGAUGUGAAUGAUCCGGCGACAGCGGAUGGAUUCACGGUGAUAUUUAGCAAAGCCGGUGAAGAUAAAAAGACUGGACGGAGUUCGACGAAGACAAAUUCUCAGAGGAAACAAGACGGUGAUAAACCAGCGGUCAAGAAAUGGCUCUGUUUCACUUUUACUUGAUCUUUUUUUAUUGUGGGUAAAUUUUAAUCCUAAGAGAAUUUAGCUUUGAGCCUUAUGAGCCAUUUGAUAACUUUUGUGUUAGAACAUUUCAUUUCGUUUUUAGUCAUCUAAUAAAACAAAUUCUGAGGUUUUGUUUCCUAAUGAUAAAUCUCUGCAUUUGGUAAUUUUGGAAUCAACAAAAUUGUAGUUGUUGAUUAAAGAAUGGCAAAAUCUUUGAUAUUGUGGUGAACACUGAACACAAGCUUUUGAACAUCUUAUCUUGUUCAAAUUCAGACAAAAUGUGUACCUUUCUUUAAUCUCUCUUGAUUUGGUCUGCAAAUUACAACUAUAAAACAAUGUUCUUGUAUUGUUUUAAUGAGGAAACACAGAAGAUCUUAAGAGAACAUACAUUAGCCACCAAAGAUUGUUGUUUUUAGGGCUUUUCCCACAAACUUGUACAGAAAGCAAAGAAAACUGUGUUGAGGCCUUGAGGGAGAGAGGCUAUCGCACACACUGAAUUUGGGCCGAUAUUAAAAAGCCCAAUAAGCCCAAUGUGUUUCUACGAUUUCUCUCAUUCGCUAACGUAAGCAACAAGACGAGUGUGACUACCAUGCGCCGUCCUCUGUCCAUUUUCAACACAGAGAAGCAAAAACCUCUGCAAGAACCCUAAAGCUAAAACCUUUUCCAAUCAAUCAAAAGAGAAAAAAAUGGGGAAAGUUCCGUCGUCGUUUCGUGCUAUGCCGGCGAACUUAUUGGUCAAAAAACCAACACCAUCUCCUCCAGCGCCGCCGCGUGAUUUUCGCAACAGAGCAGCCGUGAGAGAUUCAACUAAACUUCCAGAGAAUACUCAAGCCCCUCGCGAGCCCUCCUUGAGGAAUCCUUUCAAGUCACCAAAUCUCUCAGACGCCAAAAGCCUCUUCAAUUCAAUCGCCGCCACUUCAAGAAUCCCACUCGAUCUCAAAUUCCACAACUCUGUUCUUCAAUCCUACGCUUCAAUCGCCGCCGUCGACGAUACGGUGAAGUUGUUUCAGCAUAUUUUGAAAUCUCAACCUAAUUUCAGGCCGGGACGUUCUACGUUCCUUAUCUUGCUUUCACAUGCUUGUAGAGCUCCUGAUUCAUCGAUUUCGAAUGUUCAUAGAGUUCUUAACCUUAUGGUGAAUAAUGGUUUAGAGCCUGAUCAAGUAACAACCGAUAUCGCGGUUCGGUCUCUUUGCGAAACCGGUCGGGUUGAUGAAGCUAAGGAUUUGAUGAAGGAGCUGACGGAGAAACAUUCCCCUCCGGAUACAUAUACUUAUAACUUUCUACUGAAGCAUUUGUGCAAAUGCAAAGAUCUACAUGUUGUUUAUGAGUUUGUUGAUGAGAUGAGGGACGAUUUCGAUGUGAAGCCGGACCUUGUUAGCUUCACUAUCUUGAUUGAUAAUGUGUGUAACUCUAAGAACUUGAGGGAGGCAAUGUAUCUAGUUAGUAAAUUAGGUAAUGCUGGGUUCAAGCCGGAUUGUUUCCUCUAUAACACCAUUAUGAAAGGUUUUUGCACACUGAGUAAAGGGAGCGAGGCGAUUGGUGUUUAUAAGAAAAUGAAGGAAGAAGGUGUUGAGCCAGAUCAGAUUACUUACAAUACUUUGAUAUAUGGAUUGUCGAAAUCUGGUAGAGUUGAGGAAGCUAGGAUGUACUUGAAAACUAUGGUUGAUGCGGGGUAUGAGCCGGAUACUGCCACUUACACGUCGCUGAUGAAUGGAAUGUGUAGAAAAGGCGAGUCUUUAGGUGCGUUGAGUUUGUUAGAAGAAAUGGAAGCAAGAGGGUGUGCUCCAAAUGAUUGCACCUAUAAUACUUUGCUUCAUGGAUUGUGCAAGGCAAGGUUGAUGGAUAAAGGGAUGGAGUUAUAUGAAUUGAUGAAAUCAAGCGGUGUAAAGCUUGAGACCAAUGGUUAUGCCACUCUUGUGAGGUCUCUGGUUAAAAGUGGCAAGGUCGCAGAGGCUUAUGAAGUCUUUGAUUAUGCAGUUGAUAGCAAGAGUUUGACAGAUGCUUCUGCGUACUCUACACUUGAAACUACCUUGAAAUGGUUGAAAAAAGCUAAAGAACAAGGCUUGGUUGCCUAAGUGGUAUCCUCUAACUAAGCUUUUCCAACUUUCUUCUUUGUACGAGUCCAUAUUUCAUUUUUUGAAGUUGUAUUUGCUCCAAAUGCAACGAAUUUGAUACGAAAUAUGCUGUUCAAUUCCUAAGGAACCAGCAGUGAUUUAUAAUAAUAGGUUGUUUAUCGACGUUGGCAAUAUUCUUGUCAGAUGAGAUCUCUAAAGGGUUCGUUAAACACUAGAACUAUCGAUUGAGUGAUAUUUGUUGCUGUGUUUCUAUAAAACAGUUAUUUUCGGUUACUCUGUUCGUAUCAGCUUCUUGCCUUUAGAGUCAUGUACUCUUUUCUUAUGAACUACUUUGAAUACCAUAAUUGGUUAUUGAUCUUGCCUUGGGUUGUUGCUUGAGAGAUCAUGCAAAUAAUAUUUGCUUUGACAUGGCCAUGUUCGGAACGUUGUCGCUGCGACUACGUUCGGCGACUGAAAAUUAAACGUCAACAACGGCAAAAAGAAACAGAGAAGACAUAGUAAAAGUGUCGCCGCGACUACUUUUACAGAGGAUGCCGGUGUCGUCGGUGUCGCUAGAAAAAGCGGCGACAGUUAUUAUAGUCGCUGCGACUAUAUUCACGAGAAUGAUGAUGUUACUCUCCACAGAUUUGACGGGGAAGUAGUUAUAAUUUUUGGUCGCCGAUCGCUGAUGCAGCGAUUACAAAAAGAACACGGCCAUAUACACUAUCUGUUUGGAGUAAAUGAGGCAGAGUAUCUGAAUAAAGAUUGUUUCUCUUGUUUGGCUGCAGGAAGAGAGUGUUAUCUUCAUUGAACAAUCUUUUCUUAUAUGUUCUGUUUUAACACUAAGCAGCCAAGUGCAGAGUAUUUGUGAAUUAUCAGUAGAAUUGCAAACCAAAUCAUUGAGGGGGGCAAGAAAACAGAGGACAACGUUAAUGGAAUCAUGAAGAAGAUUUACAAGUGGUCAACAUUCUUGUAUUAGUCUAUUUCAUUGUUUAUGACCAAAUUACAAUCAUUUGAUGAAUAAACUCUUUUAUUUAUUUAGAUUUCUCUUCUGUCAUGUUUCAUUAUCUAUUGUAUAUUGCUGCAACAUUUGUUUCUUUGUCUCCCCUCAUUAAACAAUAGAACGCUACGGAGAAAUAUACAUAUUAGGAAGAAAUGUACGUACCGCGAGGUCCACGAAUGCAAGAUUCUCCUACCAUUAUUGUAUAACCUAUAGAUUCUUCAAUCUACCAGAGCCUCCAGCUUUAUCUUUGAGUAGUAUAAGUUUCUCUGAGCUGUCAUGUUCUUGUAUAUCUCUUACAUAUCUUUGUAUGCCAGAGAUGAUAUGGGAAGCAAGAAUAGACAAUAAUGGAGACACGAUAAUAUGAAUAAUCUAAGAGCUUGACGUUGCCGUGGCCCGUGUUCGUGAACUAAAAGAUUAAUGUUAAAACAUCUUUGCCACGGAUUCAACUUCCUAAAUGCUAAAAGACACUUUUUUUUUUUUUUUUUUUUUUUUGACAUCUUUGGAUCGACAAGGUCCGAUCCAUAGCCAAUUCCUACUACGCGGAGUAACGCGAUUUAAUGGACUCGAACUCCGGUGGGGAAGGCAGAGUCAAGUGGACUUAACCACUUAUCUAAAGGCACAUCCCCGCUAAAAGACACUUAAUUAUGUAAUAAAACAAAUUAUUGUCUAAGAAAAAUAUUUUGGACCAAUAACAAAGAAAUUCUGCAGAAUGCAAACGGUUAUAAGAAAUUUAAAAAGAUAAAUUUUUAGAUAAUAAUGAGAACAUCACUUAAUUUAAAAUAAGGGUUGGCUGAUUUUAUAGCCAUAAAUUAGUUGCAUUCUCAGCUUUUUCCCCCAACCUUUUUGCCCCUGAAAAUUCCACCAUAAACUUAGAUAAUUCUCACAAUUGCAACAUGUACUUUCGGAUUCAUCCUUAAAACUACGCCUCCAAUUGAACCGGCCAAUAAACCGGUACCACAUAAUCCGGUUUGAUUUAAUUCAAAUUUAACCAAAUUUAAACCCGAUUUUGACCCGAAUCUUCUUCUUCUUCACCCGAUUUUGACCCGAUUUAUUUUUUCUUCUUCCUAACUUCACCAUACCCAAAAGCAUCUGAACAGCUCCGAGCUUCACAAGCUUCCCUCUAUUACUCUGUACAAGAGAAAGGUGAUACAAAGCUAAAGCUGAGUCAUGCCGAGUCAACUCAGUACCAACUCGGAUCAAAUGAAGCGACGACUCUAAACCUCCGAGAACACCAAUCGCCAUCUUGUUCUCAUCUUCAAGAGCUAAACUGAAGAUAACUCCGGCGGAAUGUUCCUGAGCUUCAACAGAACCGCAUUUCAAAACGUCGAUCAACGGUGGAACGAUUCCUGACCGUACGAUCUUAACUUUAUUAGAUUUUUCCAAAGACAAGUUGACAAGAACCACCGUGACAUUGACCUGAACCGUCGCGUAUCUCGAAACAAUCAGUGACUUAAGUGCAGAGAUUAGUCUCGUUGUACAUAAACUGAUUUUUGAACCUUCGUCGAUUCUUGUAACGCGUCGAAUCGAAAUCAAAGCUUCUUCAAUCUCUGAGAUUCGAUUACUCUUAAGCUUUGUUAGUAAAGCUUCUUCUUCUGGAGUUAGGUUUGGUUCUAAAGAUUCGAUUUCUCCAGAUGAAGGUGAAGAGAAGCAACUAGGUUUAGUUGUUAACUGUAGUGUACAGCUUGAAGAAGCUAUUGACUCGUCGGAGCUUGAAUUGAAGUAGUUAGGUCUCCGGUCAAGCUCCGUCGCAGCGUGGUUAAGUCUCACUGAUGGUUUAUCUUUGAUUGCUUUGAUAAGCUCUUUCUCUGAAACAGAGACUCUUCUUUGUGGUGUUUUCUCAAUUAAUGUGAGUAUAAGCUUCUCCUCGGCGGCGGAAUCGAGUGGCUUCGGCGGUGGAAAACACCGUCGUUCACACCAACUGAGAAUUGCAGAUUUCAAGGCGAGAUUUGGUAUGACGGUGGAGAAAUCUGGUGGUGGAUUUGGUGUGAAGCCUAGGGUUUUAGAAGCUAAAAAUUCUGGUCAAAAUUGGGUGGAGAGGAAGAAGAUUCGGGUCAAAAUCAGGUUUAAAUUUGGUUAAAUUUGAAUUAAAUCAAACCGGGUUAUGUGGUACCGGUUUAUUGGCCGGUUUAAUUGGAGGCGUAGUUUUAAGGAUGAAUCCGAAAAUACAUUUUGCAAUUGUGAGAAUUAUCAAAGUUUAUAGUGGAAUUUUCAGAGACAAAAAGGUUGGGGGAAAAGCUGAGAAUGCAACUAGUUUAUGGCUAUAAAAUUAGCCAACCCUUAAAAUAACAAUAAAAGUAUUUUCUAAAACAUUACUUAAAAAAAGGGAUUUUUGCCAAAUGUACCACAAUUUUCAAAUUUCUUAGUAAUUCUACCACAAUGGAAAUCCUUUUAGCACUUGUACCACUUGAUUGUGGUAUUGGGGUAGACAAUAGAUAAUUUUGCCCUUCUGAUGUAUCAGGUGUGUGUCAGAAAAAAGAGCUACAUUUAAAAGUUGGGGACAAUAAUUAUUUGGAGACUAUGAUUAGUUUUAUUAAAGAUAGUUAAAUGUUGGGAGACAAUCAUUAUUUAAUUAAAUGGUGACAAUGAUUAUUAGAUAUUAAAAUAUAAUGCAAAGUAUUAAUUAGUAGGUCAAGGCAAGUAAUUAAUUAAUAAAAACGUUUAAGGAGAUGAUAUGGGUUAAACUCGGGAACAACUGGAUCGAGAACAACUGGAUCUCUUGAUUGUCUAUCGCCAGAUGAUAUAGUUUUACCAGCCAGAGAUCUGGAUUUACUCGGGGACAACAUCUCUUAAUUAUCCAUCGCUAGAUGAUGUGGUUUUACCAGCCAGAUAUCUGGAUUAACUCGGGGACAACUUGAUCUUUAUUUUAUUUUGCCAGAGAGCCGAAGACGAAGAUCUGGAUUUACUCGGGAACAACUUUGUUUUACCAGGCAGAGGGACGAAAACGGUUACCAAUGCGCCAGGAGAGAAAAAAAGACAGUAAAAAUUUCGGAAAGUCACAUCAACCGCAGUUCCCUAUCUCACCAGUUGGAAGGUAAAAUGGUCAUUUUACAAACACAAUGUGGUAUGAAUGAUAAUUGGAAUUCAAAUGUGGUAGAAGUGAUAACUUUUGGACAAAAUGUGGUACUAAUGCUAAUUUUCUCUUACUUAAAUUAUAAAACAAUUUAUAGUCAUCAUAUAAAUUAUGUAAUACCUAAAAUAAUAUUUAUAAUCGCUUCUUCUUUUUUGGCUCCACCAACAAAACAAUAGCAGCUAAACUAUCAUAUGUAAAACCAAAUUUGUUCUAUUAAAAAUCGUUUAGUUUGUUAAAGCCAAUUUACUUUUGGAACUACUAUAUGGAACACACCUGACAUGCACCACAGGAAAUGAUAACCUUAGAAAAGAAUGUUUUUGGAGAUCAAUGCUAUAUGCAAUGUACAUAACAUGAUUGAAAAUUCUUUGGAAGCAUGCAAUAAUUGGUGACUGCCAAUGAGAUCUAGAAAUAAAACAAGAUGCUUUUGCAAAAAUGCUACUUUUUCAAUGCCAUUUUUUAAAAAUACCCUUUUUAAAAAAACCUUAUAAAAAAUGCUCUUAAAAAUAUAAGAUUUACCCAAAUAUGUAUGUAAUAUUAUUAAAACAUACACAAACUACAUUUCUAUGUAUCUAAAAUCUUAUAUAUACUUUAUAAAUACCUUAUAAAUGCAUUUUAAAUACCUUUAAAAACCUUUAAAAUAUCUUGUAAAACCUUAAAAAUCCUUUAAAAUAACUUAUAAAACCUUUAAAAACACCUUAUAAAACCUUAUAAAUACUUGGAUUGAGUCUUCAAGUAGUAGUUACAAUCCAUAAGUACCUUAUAAACCUAAUAAAACUUUAUAAAAACUUCAGAUUUAAAAAGAGGCAUUUUUGAAAAUGGACAUCUAAAAGGGGCAUUUUUGAAAAGGGUCACACAAAAAAAUGUAUUUUUAACAAUUUCCCAUAAAACAAAUAAUAAAAGUCAAGUUUUACACGUGUACGUAAUGCCGGGGACGUGGACAAUUGGUGAAGCCCGUUUUUACAAGUCAACGAAAAGGAGACAUGCCAUAAAAAAGCAGAUUUUACAAUUGGUUGAGAGAAUAUUAGUAUUGGUUAAGACUUAAGAACGAUGACUUUGUGAAAAGUGAUAACCAUCAGUUUCUCUUCCAUUAUAGUUAUAUUUAUAAAAAAGGUGUAAAAAGAAAUAUGCAAAGUAGAACUAGAAAUAAUAAACUAGAUUUUAACUCGCGGUACACCGCGGAAUGAUUUAAUUUUAAAGUUAGUAUAAAAAUAUUUUGUAAAUUGUAUCUCCUUAUAACAUAUUUAUUUAUAUUAUAGUUUACAAUUGUUAUUAAGUAACGGUAUACCACGAGUCUACGAGAUAAUUAUUAAUAAACUGAGGAUUUAACCUGUAUUAAAGCGGUAUAUAAAUAUUGAUUCAAAUUCGUCCGCCAUAUAAAUCAUUUCCGAAAUAUAACCCGUUCCGUAAUUUCUUAACCCGUCCUGUGAUUUGUAUUAAAAAAAAUAAGGAUUAAAUCCGUAUUGAAGCGGCGGAUUAAUGAUAUUUUAAUUUUUUUAUUAUUGUUGAUUCAAAAACCCGUCCCGCCAAACCCAUCCCGCCAAAAAACUCAUUUAUUUUAUUAAUGUUCUUAUUUAUGAUAUGAUUCUGAAUCAUUGUCUAAAUAUUUUAAUCGAUGUAGAACGUUGAACACACAUUUUCGUCAAUUGGAUAAUAUAUGUCCGUUUUUAAAAUUUCGAAUCACAGUAUAUGCAGAAAAAAAAUUGAUUUUUUUUUUACUUUAUGUAUUAUAUGAUAAUUCAAAACAGUUAAAAACAAAUCAAACAAAGAUGAUAGGAGAAUCAUAAUUAUAAAUCUUAAUCAAAUCUUCUAAAAAUCUAAAUUAUUAAUUAUGGAAUAUCCGGUGUAUGAGUUGGGUUAAAUAUAACCCGACCCAACAAAUUUUUUAUGAAGAAAUUUUUAAAAUGGGUCGGAUAUCCGAUAUACCGAAAGCUUUUUUACCCACCCGUCACAAAAAGUGCUGCGAUUAUACUAGUAUAGAUAGUUUUUUUUUUUUUUGUGUACGUAAUUUAAACAAAAAAAUGAAACUAUAUAAAAUAAAUGUCAUCGGAAAAAUAUAUGAUUGAUAUUAUUUUUGUUAGAUUUUUUAAUUUUAUCAAUCUAUAUUGUUAUAUAAAUUUAAACUUAACUCUUAAGUCAAACAUCAAACACACCACCCACCCAUCCAUCAUCAAUGUUCGUUCUUAACCCUAAUAUUUUUAACACUUAGGGCAUCAGCAGUGGUGUAUUUGUAGUGAUAAAUGUUAAUAAAUUUAUAUUAAUAUAAUAAAAAAGAGAGAGAAGAGAGAGAGAUAGAGAGAUAGAGAGAGAUAGGGAGUGUGAAGAAGAGAGAAGAAGAGCUUACCAACCAAAUGCUCCCACGUAGCUCACAUUCGGGUGUUAUCCCACACUCGAACUGUGUAACUUUUCCAACUUUUGCAAUAUUUUUUGUUUUAAAAUUACUCACACUCGGGUAAAGAGUGUACCACUGCUUGUGGUCUUAGGGAUGUUUUGACAUCUAUAAAGUAAAUGCGUAUCUGCGUAUGUCGACCAAAAUCUUGUGACAAGUGACCUUAAAUACAUUGCAGUAGCACAAUGUAUCAUAUUUUCUGAUAAUUUUUUAUGUAGAUGUGUAUUUCUACUUUAUAACAUUUUGUGAAUUGUGAAUCGCUCUAUUUAUUUUAUCUUUUUUCAAGAAGGUUUAACGACUUUAUUAAAAGUUAGAGGUACGGGACAAAGCUGAAAAAAAAAAUAGUAGAUGAAUAGAUGAGCAACAAUAUCACUAAGACAUAUCUUAAUUGAUGUGUCUUAAUUUUUUCACUUAAUAUGUGUCUUAAUUGUACAAACUGCAUAAUCUAUGUGUCUUAAUUUUUUCACUUAAUUAGUUACAAAGUAACUAAGAAGAAAAUUUUGAAUAUUAUUUUGUUUUAAAACCUUUGAUUUUCUAAUGUCGCUUUAAUUAGGAUGAUUUUGGUUAGAUUAGUUAAUGUUAUUGUAAGAGAUACUCAAAGGGGUUGGAUAUAAAAUUUUGGAUUUUAUUAUUCUCUUUACAAAAAGGCUUGGAGACAAAAUAAUUCUGAGUUUGGUCCACACCAAAAUUUUUAACAAUGGCACAAAAAACAGACUUGAAUAUACUAAAAUCAUUAAUAGUACAUCAUGUGUAGCUUCAAAUAUAUGUACAGGAUGUACACACGUAAGAUACUCUUAUACAAAUAAAUUUUUAUGAUAGAAAAACUCCUAUUAUUCAAAUACACAUUAAUUCUCGAGCCCUCGUUUGAGUCUUGACGAAAUUAUCAAGUAUUUAAUCUAAUUCUAUAACCACAAAUAAAAUCUUAGCCUCCUUAUACUUGGAUCUAUACAAUCUAUGAGAGAGGAUAUCUAAUAUCAUCUCUGGUACUGCCAUCUCUGCUCCUGCCGGUAAUCUUCCAUCUAUACAGUUGAGAAAUUGAAAAGGAGUAAGGUCGCAUGGUCAGCGGAAUGGAUGCUGAGAUUGAAAGGGUGAUCAACAAAGUGCAUGCGAAUACAGAUUCAAAGAAACUGUCUCAUGCAACUGUCUAUCUUAUACGAAAUGCAAAAAAAAAAAAAAAAAAAAAUCAGUCAUGACUUAUGAAAAUAUAGGCUAUGGAGUCAAAAAAGAGUCGGCAAUAUAGUGAAAGCUAUGGAAAGAGAUGCGGCUAUUUGAUGAUAUAUGAGUUUUUGCUAAGGCCAAUGAGAAGACCUUGAUACUAGAGAGACUUUGAUUUUAAAUGUGUUUGAUGAGAAUAUGUUUGUUUCCUUAUUAUGUUUGCAUCGGGAGAAUCAAAGCUUAAGAACACUAUAAAUAAUGUUUAGUAUGUUGAAAAAAUAAAGAAUUAUCAAAAUAUUACCGGAGGGGAUAACAUAUUAACAUGGAUAGAGAAUCAUAUACAUUAUGAAAAUUAAACCUUAAAAAAAAGGUUUAAACGUUCAGCUAUGGUCUAGUUCAAAUCUUAGAAACUUGCAAAGCAUGUCAUUAAUAUCUCCGGAGCAUCUCUAUUACAAAAGAUAUCACCUAAAAGCUUUUAUGUUGGACUUCGAGAUUGCCUCUAAAGAUAGAGGAUCAAACGAUCAGUGCAACGAAUAUGGAACUUAAAGAUAUACUUUGGAUAUAUGUGAGGUUGGGUUUUCCCUUUAAUUUAUUUAUUUUUCUUGAAGCACAUCCCCUUUGUAGCUACGAAAUUAUACUAUUACAAACUACUACAAUUUUAAAGGAAAAAAAAUGGUUUUGAUUCCAUAAACUUUUACAUUGAAAAUUUUGAUUCCGUAACUUUUCUACAUUUGACAAUCAUUCUGCAUUAGUAUUCAUAAUGUAAAUUUUAUUUUACUAAUAACAACAUUAUUUAAUGAUUUCUAAAUUUUCAACUUUCAAUUGUUAGUGACUGGAACUUCUGCCAGACCCAAUACAUAAAAAAUCAAAUGUCAAAUAAACUACACGUUGCAGUAGUAGUAACCAAUAAAAUGCCGAUACACAUCAACGAAAGAUUCGACUCUUUUCCACGUGUCAUAACCCACGAUGUUGAGGCUAAUCAGACAAUAAAGGUAUGAUAGGUCGGGGCAUAUUAUGGUUGAGAAAGAUCUGCAUUUCUUUACCUACCCAGACAAUUUAUAGACCGUUGAUAUUAUUUUUAUAUUUUAUUUGGAGUAAUCGACUAUGCAUUAAUUAUGUGGCGAAACCGGAAGCAUAACAGUCGAUGACUCAUCAACUAUGUGGCCAAACUAUUACGCAUAAUUUGACAAUCGAAUUUAUAAAAUAUCAUGACAACUCAUAAUCACACAUUUUGCCCAUAACAAUCGGACAAAAUUAAAAUAAUUUAUAUUUUAUUAUUGUUGAAGUUUUGUUGGUUGAUGUUACAAACUUUUAUGAUACUAUAAAUAGAGCUCGUUGAAUAAUUAUCAGUAUAGAGAAACAACAAAGCUCAAACCAAUAUGGCGAUGAAGAUGAUCAAGAACCAUGUAAGAUCUAUUAGCUUACCAUCAAGAUCUCAUCCUAGCACCGCAGCGAUUGAGGAGUCGCUGGAAAAAUUUAUUAUCACUAUGAACACGUCGACAAUGACGUCGUCUAAGUCCGUUUACUCCGGUUUAUCGGGGCUGGAGGAUCUGUACGACUGUACCGAAGAUCUUCUUAAGAUGGGUUCGACGCAAAGAGUGUUGUCGUUUAAUGAUGAGAAGAAGAAGAAGAAGAAGAAGAUGAUGAAGGGAGAGUUUAUGGAGGAAAUGCUUGAUGGUUCGUUGAGGCUAAUGGAUAUAUGCAACGUCUCGAGGGAUCUCAUGGUUGAGACUCAUGAGCAUGUUCUUGGUCUUCAGUCUUGUGUUAGGAGAAGGAAAGAUUUCGAUGUCUCGGGCUAUGUCGGAUUUAGGAAGAAUAUGAGGAAAGAAGUGAAGAAGCUUCUUGGAUCGUUAAAGAACAUUAAUGUAGGGUUAGUAAUGAAAGAUCAUGGUUAUGAUCAAGACGGUGAUAUUCAUUUAUUGGCCGUGAUUCAUGCAAUGAGACGUGUCGUUUCAAUGACAGUUUCGGUCUUGAAGUCGUUCUUGGAGUUCUUGUCGGGACGACAAAACGGGAAUGACAUAAGGAGCAAAUUGGCUUUGGUCCUCAUGAACAAGAAGUUUCAUGAUCACGAUAAGAUGGUCAAAAAUGAGUUGGAGAAUGUAGAUUCAGCGAUUUGUGGAGAUUCUAUCUCUUAUGAUGAUCUUCAUGUGAAGCUUGAGGAAGUUGAGGUAUGGAUUCGAAGGUUCGAGAAGAGUCUAGAAGAAUUAUUUCGAGGGAUGAUUAGAACACGAGCCUUGCUUCUCAACAUAAUCUCUCAAUAGGUGUAUAUGUAAUAUUGUCAUCUUCGUGGGCAUUCAGUUUUAGAGGAUUUGCCGAAGGGUACAUUAUACAAACAUAAGAUUUUGUAAACACUAGUUAAUUUCAUUUUAUAAAAAUAUAUAUUCAUUUAUUAAAAAAAACACACACAAUUUUGCGUGUACACGUUUUUGUAUCACUUGGUAAUUGAUGUCACAUUUGAAUCUCUGAUUUCAUGCUCUACCAAUUCUUUCCACAACUCCAUAAAUAACCCGCUAUAUUUUCACGAGUAUCGACAAUAAACUCAUUAUCUAAUCUUUGUCUUUUGUUUGUCCAUUUGGAAGCAAUGAGAGGUAUGUUCAUAAAAUUACUUGACCCGGGUCUAGUGAUUAAGUUUUGUAUUAAUGGUGGGCUCUGCUUAGCAUAGAAUUUAGGUUUAAAAUCUCGAGUAGUCGUAUGAAAAAAUCUCUUAUAUAUUAUUCUAAGUUUUUUCCAUCUUUCCAAUGUGAAAUAAUUUUUAUGGACAACCAAUUUGACUUAAAAGAAAUCUGCUAAGCCCACAAAAUUAAAAGGGCCAACCCGUUUAGGCACUUUUUGAUUUAUAGUGUCAAUAAAUAGGUUACAACCUAAAUUCUUACAUUGAACCCGUUGUAACGCCCCCGAACCGCUCUAUGGCCGGACAAGCCACGGGCGACCCGAAGACGUCACAUAGACAGCUCACACAGACGUUCCAGCAGAGGUUCCAAACGAAUUCAGACCCUUAGCCAGACCAUCCGCGCGAACCGUCCCUCCCGACUGCGGUUUAGGCUUUUCAACCCUUACCGUGAUCGCGAGUUGUGUUAGUCCGGACAAGACUAAUAUCGGGUGAAACACCCACUUUAUAAGAAAAUUACUCCUUUUAUAUCAUAUAACUUUUGUACAAUAAGUAUCCAACUUCGAUUCUCAUCUCCUGAUAUUAAUCCUUACACUUUGGCGCUUCGCCUUUUACCACUUCUUGCUCCUUCACCAACUUUGGUUUAUUCCUUUUCCAACACUCUUGAUCACCACUCCUUAAAGAUUCUUCUUCUCCAACAACUCACUCACUCCUCCACUUGCCCUCACUCGAGUUACAAGCUCACGUUACUGAGCUCGGCCAAAGUCCUUCAACACUUUAAAAUCUUGGUUGCGGUCCCCCACGUUUUCGAUAAUUCCAUCUCAUAAAACUUUUUACUCCAUCCGAUACUCAAACUUAUCUUCAUCCACUUCCUCAUCCCUUUAGUACCUCUCCUUCCAAAGGCUUCACCUUAAUGUUUCUUAAACUGGUCACACUUUGCAACAACUUUCCCCUCAAGUCCUGGACCUUCAUGAUUUGAUUUCGUGCUCGCCCAACAACAUCUCAACGACGAAUUUCUCUUAAAUCUUGGAUUCUCCUUUGAACCGUAACCAUUUCCUCAGCUCCCCAUUACAUCUCGCUCGAUUACCCACAUUUCCGCUACGAUCUACUUUCGUGCCUAUUCUUAUUUCUUGCAACAAAUUAUCCUCGUCGUUGCUUCAGCUCAUCACACCUUCUUUAUCAACUUCUAUUCUUCAACUCUUGGAUCAUUGGAAGAGUAACGAGAAGAAGUUUAUAAACGGAGUAAGGUGGAGUUGUGAUGGGAUUAUGGAUUUGAGAUAGUGAAGUCCGAGAGAAGAGUGAAGAGAAUCAUACCAAGGCAAGUAAAGGAGAUGGACGGAUUUGUCGAGAAAAAUAUGGGACUAAAGGAGGAAGAAGAAUCUUAAUCGGAGGCAGAUUAUUCUUAAAGGAAAUGGAUGAGAGUCGGGAAAGCAAGCUAAGGGUUUAAGAGAUGAAAGAAGCUUUCGGGCUCUUAGCCUAUUUUAACAUCACUCCAUCUUUUUACCAAAGUAAUGUAGUUAAGACUGGGCAAUCAGUUAAAUAUGUCAAGAAUUUUGUUCAGAUUGUUCGAUUUUUGGGUAAAAGAAUUUUGAAUUGCAACGAAUUAUAGUUUAAUUGACAAUCUGUUUGUUCGGUUUGGGUAAAAAAAUUCCGAAUUGAAAACCUAAGUUUGUUUUAGACCCCUAAAUUGGCUCAUUUUAUCAAUUUUAGUACAUUUGCAAAGUUCGGUUUAGUUCAAAAGUUCGGUUUAGACCAAAAGUUAGAAGAAUGAAAAACAAAAUCUGAAAGUUGUGGAUUUUUUUUAAAAUAUUUUUUUGCUAAACCAAAAGAAUUUUUUUAAAAGGCCAUCAAAAUCAUUAGAUAUCCUUCAAAAUCUCCCCAAAUACGAGAUCUAAAAAGUCUUCCAAAUUUGAAAUCUCCAAUACACCACAUUUUUUAAGGAUUCAAUAAAUUUGUUUGCGAAACGACAUGAAAAUCAUCGUACGAAAACAUUCAAGAUAUAUGAUGAAUUAUUUGGUUAAUGCCACGUCAGUUAUAAAGAUAAGAUUUCAUAAAGAUAAGAUUUCACAAUACACGUCAGCCCUAACAAAAACAUAGUAAAGUUUGACGUGUACCUAUAAAUAAGAAGGUUUAAAGCAGAAGGAGCAAACAAAAAAAAUCCCUAGAGACUCACGCCGCUUCGAAGAGUUCCAACAUUUCAAGAGAUCUCUAAGAUUCGGCAACCCAAACACCAUUAGAACCUAAUCAACACAAAAUAUUUUUUCUUAUCAAUCUGUAAAACUGUCUCGAUCGAUCUGAAACAAUUAAGAUUUACCCAAACACCGUCAAACCCCAAUUCUUUUCUUUCAACGUCAUAAACUGCGGUGCCGACAUAUCCUCCGACCAAAAUCUACCAAUAUAAAUGUAAAUUUAGCAUAAAAGAAAUUUCUCUUUGUUAGUUAAUUAAUUUUUAAAUCAUAAUUAACAUUUCACCAAAAAAAACUUUUGUUUUCAAUUGAUAUUCAACUAGAUCUCACCUUUCAAUUUAUUAAUUUUCAUUGUUUUUUUUUUUUGGUCAGCAAAUUCAUUGAGCUUUUUCUCAACUCUUUAAGGUUUGAAAGGAAGUAAAGUUGAACUCUCGUGCUCAAAGAUCUGCACAGGUAAUUUUCUUGACUUGAGCUAGUGGAUCCGACUUUUUUUUGGACGAAAGGUUCCGACCAUUUAUUCAUUUUCAUUUAUAUUUUUUUUGUCAACAGCUUUUAAAUUUUUCAUUUUCAUUUUUUAUAAGGAAAUGAGUGAAUUUUGUUUCCCUAUAGACUAAAAAUGCACUAUUCAUAUUUUUAUUCUUUAAAAGGCAAAGCACAACUAUUUGGAGCGUUAAAACAACCAUAGUAGCAAAACAGGGGAGAGAAAUGAGUGAUUGGUCUAAGUUACCGGAGGAGCUUCUUGGCGUAAUCGCUGCUCGAUUGUUCUCCAUGGUCGAAUUCAAACGCUUCCGUAGCAUCUGCAAAUCGUGGCGCGCCUCUGUUUCCGGCACUAACAAGAACCUUUUCCUGAGCUGCCCUCUCAUCAAGUUCAAGCCCCUCCAAUGCAUGGUCUCUUCAAUCCAAGCAAACGAACAAAGUUUGGGCCUCCGCUAUGGCCCGUUCCUCUCGCGGGCCGCAUUCUUUCGCGUCACUCUCUCCUCCUCUCGGGACCAAGGGUGGUUGAUCAAAUCAGACAAGGAUCUCAACUCCGGGAAAUUCCAUCUCCUCAACUCUCUCUCGCGCCUCGCACUACGACAUUCGUGCAAGCGCAUUGAUCUUUCGUGCAAGCGCAUUGAUCUGUCAGAAUUCAUAUUCUCCGAGAUUCAAGAAGCUUAUGCGGUUCUAGAGGGCAAACUGAGAAAAACAGCUCGCGGAUUCCAAAGAGUGUUUCUUGUCAGAGUCCCAGGAGGAGAUCAUCGUGUUCUAGUGAUCGGCAUCGACGGGGUGAUCAGGUACUGGAAAGACGAAAGUUGGAUGAGAGUCGAAGGACAAGUAGAUCAAUUCUCUGACAUUGAACUUGAAAGAGGUCUUACUUACGCCUUGGAUACAAAAGGGAGUGUUUGGUGGAUUAGUUCCUCUUACGACAUCUCCAGGUUCGGACCUUCAAUAUAUAAAAACAUCACUAACAGAUCUUCCGGGGAAAAAAGGUUUGUAAGAUGUCGUGGAGUGCUUUACAUUGUAGAUCGUCUCAUUGACGAGAAUCUCCUAAAGAGAAAAGCUGAUUCCUUGAAUGGUAAUGCCAUUGUUCAUAUCUGGAAUAAUUUUCCCAAUCCUCAUAUCGUGGAUGGUAAUGCCAAUGCUGGUUUCGUGGACGCUAAUGCUAAUUUAUGGGAUAAUAAUGGCAAUGCUGGUUUCAUGGAUGCUGAUCCCGUUCGUUACCGUUUCGCAGUGUUACACGACGAUGUUGGGAAUGUAAGUUGUGAAGUGUUUGAACGUGACCGUCCCAAAACGAUAGGUUUCAAGGUUUACAAGAUGGAUGAUGAAUUGGUGAAAUGGGUAGAAGUUAAGUCCUUGGGAGAUAAUGCGGUUAUGAUGGCUACCGAUACUUGUUUCUCGGUUUUGGCUCAUGAGUUCUAUGGAUGCCUGCCAAAUUCUAUUUACUUCACCGACAAGGAAAAAGACGAGAUUAAGGUGUUCAAGCUAGAUGAUGGUAGUAUCACAACAAUGUCAAAAUCUGAGAAGAGUUGUUUCCAAAUGUUUGUUCCUAGCUUUCUCUAAAUCUUGUUUAGGUCAAAGCUAAUUUUUAUGUAUUAAGAGUACCAACCAUCUGAAUAAAAACCUUACCUUUCAUCUUCAUUUUUGGUAUAGACAAAGUGUAUUGAACAGAAGAUGCAACUUGUUUAACGAAAUAUCUUCAUUUUUGAUAUCAUCACGAAGCCUUGAGAUGUUUUAGCACUGCUUCAGAAGAAUGGCGAGCAAAGUGCUUCUGCCUUAGCUUCACAUAAGGAUAUCCGAGGAACGACAAGAAAUGAGCUGGCUUUGAGAAAGAUGUUAUCUCAUACCAUACUUCACCAUUUCCAUCAAGCUCUAUCGAAAACCGUUCUUCUCCAGCGAGUAAAUGACCCUGAAGAGUACCGCUUCCGUAACCGAAAUGCGCAGGGCCUUUUCUUGAUUUCCGGCUUUCGUCAACAUAAACCACUUGUAGAGGAAGUAUCACCCAUGGAAGAACUUCUUUCACACAAAUGCAAAACUUCUUACCGGUUUCAACAGGAGUUGCAGGAUCAACAAAUGCCCAAUCCAUACCAAAAUGCCUGCAAAUUUUUCAGAUAGAAAUAAAUAAGAACAGAACCGAUUGGUGUUCUUGAGAUGAAUAAAGAGCUACACAUACUUCCAAUUCUGUAGAGCUUUUUUGCCCUUCUCGAAACUCUCUCUACCUGAACCGACUAAAACCCUAGCAUGAUUGAUCAAGAAUCCAUCUUUUUCAACUUCUGAAUCUUCCUUAAGUUUAGCUAUAGACCUAGACGAAACUCCUCUGUACUUGUUGUCAUAAUUGAAGGCUCCUGUUCUGUGGAUUAUAAAAAGCAUAAACUCAGAGAGAGCUUUCCAGUACUCAAAAGAUUUCGUUUUUCUUUCUAAGUAACGAUUUUGAUUCUUCUUACUUGUUGAUUACUUGUUGCUGUUGCUCAGAAGAUGGACGACCCCAACUCAAGAACACCAUCUCUUCCACAGCAAUUGAAGCAGACCCACUAAAAUAAAAUUAAAAAUCGAAACUUUGAGCUAUUUCUACAUUCGAAUUUGGGAGAUGAUCAGAGGUGUAGAGAGAAAAACCUGCAAAAGCUUCACAAACCAGAGGCGUUUAAUCCCAAUUCAUUCGGUUAGUGGAGCUCCAGAGAUUUAUUAUCCUAAUCAUCAUGUCGUUUCUUUGCAUAGCCAACGGCACGGUGUUUGUUACUAAAUGUCUAAAACGACACACAGUCCCAAAGUGAAAAUGAUCCGAAAACAAAUGAGAAACACAACACAUUAAAUAACUAUACACAGUGAAAAUGAUUUAAGCCUAACGAAUAUGCAACUCUGUUAAACUUCCCUUCUUAUGAAAGAAAAAAAGAAGAAGCAAAAAGUAUUAGGAGUUACUAAUUUCUAUUGUGGAAAGGAAUCAAAGAGGAGAAAACACUCUCUAAGGUCAAAAAGAAAGAAAAAAAGAGAAACUGUACAAGGCAAGGCAAAAAAAUAAUGCCUUGAAUCGUUAAAAGUGAUGAUCAGAAGAAGAACUAGUAACGUGGCUUUCUGAAGGGAGCAAAUAAAGACAUGCACUGCUUGUCCUUGCUAGGGUCCGCAUCUCCAACCUGCUUUGUUUUCACCACAUCCUGCUCUGAGAAUCUCUCCUUGUAAGGUGUUUUUUGUACUCGGGAGAUCACACUACGACGUUUACCUCUUUCAUUAUCUGUUGUAGCAUUUCUAUGAUUUCCUCAAACAGUGGUCUCUGUGCCGGGUCUUGAUGCCAGCAUCUCUCUAGAAGUCCUUUCACUUUUGGGUGGGUUUUCUUUGGAAUUUUCGGUCGAAGCCCCUGAAAACCAAAUUCAAUUUAGCCUCUGGUUCUCUAGCAAGACAAAAACCUGAAUGAGACAGUAAGAAGCAGCAUUACCUUUUGGACAACGCCAACAGCUGCUUGUAGUGGAGUCAAGAAAGCAUAUGGGAUCUGUUUCCAUUUACAAAUGCAUGAUACAUCAGUAUCUCUCUAAUUAGCAUGAAAGAUUCAGUCAGAGAAUUGUAAGCAGAUAGAUUCUUACGUCACCAGUCAGAAGUUCCCAUAGCACUAUCGCAUAACUGAACACAUCUGCCUUGUGAUUGUAAGGUUUGUGCUCAAUGACCUGGGUUUUCGCAAGUUUAUUGUCAAAGUAAGAGACCCAGAUCAAACAGAGGACUCCAAAAGCUUAUUAUUACACAAAGCCAGAUCAAUCAAUAUAUUUGAGGUAUAAAACUCAUACAUACCUCUGGAGCCAUCCACCGGUAAGUCCCUGUUUCAGCUGUCAUGACUCCUGAUUCAAUCUGCACUCUGGCAACUCCGAAAUCAGCAACCUUGACAAGCUGCUCAAAAUUAUCCCAAGGUUAGAACCCUAGAGUCUGGUGAUUCUAGUAGAAAUAAAAGAGGUUCAUAGAGGUAAAGGAUAAAGAAAUGUUUGCAGAAUUUAAUUUCAAUGGUUUAUUAAGGAUUACACUAUGCAUAGCCAGAGAACAAGUCUUACUCCAUGUUCAUCCAUAAGAAGAUUUGCAGUCUUAAGGUCCCUGUGAAUAAUGUUGUUUUGAUGCAAAUAGCUCAUUCCUUUUGCCACAUCAAGUGCAACUUUAAGCAAAGUUUGAAGUUUGAAAGCGCAUUUCUGUUUGUGAAGAAAAUCAUAUAUGCUCCCUCGAGCCAUAAACUCUGACACAAACAUAAAACCAGUCAACUCAUAUUACAUGUUUUUGUGAUAACAACUCAAAUUUACAUCUACUAAGAACUUACCAGUCACUAUACAGAGGGUUGGAGAUCUUGUGCAUGCACCCAAAAAUUGAACGACAUUUUUGUGUCGAACUUUCCUACAGACAGUGAAAGCAUCAGUAACAAAUGACAAUGAAGAAUGCAUGUUGGUUACUUAAUACAUCAAAAGAGGUUUAACGUAGGACAAGGACUGAAAAAGUUCAAGCCUGCUCCUGAAUAUAAUUGUCAGUCAGGCAUGUUUCUGUAUAUAAAACUAUGAACUACUGUGGGAAUAUCCACAUGACGCUGAGAAUUAAUUACACCGACCUCAUUAUAAAAACUUCUUGAGAAAAUUCUCUAAGCAUCUCAUUGUUUACACGCUCAGGCUUGAGAAAUUUGAUAGCUACUUCCUGACUGCAAUAAGUGCCUCUAUGCCUGCAUAGCCAUCAAAAACAAAUUACUCUAACUUCUCAAUAAGAACUUACAGUUUUCAAAACAAGCUUACAUAACAAUAAUACUCACAGAUCCCCAUAUGAACCAGAUGCCACUUUCUUUUCAAUUUUGAGCUGUGUCACGUCAAUUUCCCACUCAUCAGUUCCAUCCGUGGGUAUUUCAAUGCAGGCGGGUAUAAGCUCAUUGCUUGAUUUGUCAUGCUCAAAGAAAGAAAUAGAUUUCUGUUUUGCACCAGGUUGAUCCUGUAGAACAGCCAACGGAAAAUAUAGAGACAGGACAACUGUCAAAUUUUUGAAGUAAAAAAAGCAACAAGACCUAUAUCAUUUUCUCGUGAAUCAUUGCAUCCUCCAAAUUCAUAGUCAGAAAAUACCUUAAGCUUCAAUAUCUCUUUGCUCAAUGCAUCCUUUAGACCAUCUGUUUCCUGUAAUUCCAAAGUGCAUAAGUUUCUCAGUUAGUGAUAGCAGACAGAAAGGUAUUCAAGAUCUCGUUAAGUCAUUCAAAAUCUAGUUAAGCCAUUCUCGAAAAGCGAAAACCACCAUACCUCCUGAGACCAACCAUCAACUACAAAGACAUCUAGAGAGAAACCAUCUACAGUGGAAAAAGCAUGAGCCUCUUGUAUAUUCAGUCCAAGCUCACCAAGCAGGGAAGUUAGCUGAAACAGAAAACAGUUUUCUCACUCAACUAAUCACAGAUAUGGAAGAAAUAACCAUCCAUCCUCUACAUGACAGUGUGUAAUGACGCAAUGUUUAUGCAGCAAACAGUGAUGUUAGAGUAAGAAUCACACCUGGCUAAGGAGUUUCGGUUUAUCGAUGGUUGAAAAUGUGAUCUCGUGCAUUGGUCUGCAGGAAACAACAAAGCAUAACAUCAGUGCACAUAGAAUUAUACUUAAGACAUGAGAGAAAAUAUGAAUCAAUACAAAAACACAAUGAACAACAAAACAAGAAGUCUCACCGAGUAGACAAUGUUGCAUUCACAACACUAUCAACAUCUUCAACAAUUUUACUUCCCUGAGUAAUAGCCUCAAAAUUUGGAGAAGAACCAAAAGUUGGAGGAGCAAGAACCCUUUUGACAGAAAGAAAGGGCAUGAUUAAAAAGAAAUUACAACAACGCUGAAAAGUGUUCAAGAUCGAUCUCAAUUUAAUAAAACUCCAUACCCCUGUCCGCUUGGUUGGUGAGAGCUUUGAGCAUCUUCCUCCACCGCAGGGUCAGAGUCAGCAGAGCUUCUAGGAGAAACCUGUAAGAAGAAACCAAUUAACACAACAAAACAAAAAAGUUUCUUAUAAAGCUUUCAAUAUUGGCUCAAGGUUUGAUUACCUGUACACUACGAACUUCAAAGACAGGCCUAGUUGCAGGAUCUUCCGCCAAUUUUAGUAAUCUCUGAUGAGUAAGAACAUCUUCCGCUCUCUCAACUUUAACAUCAAGAGCAUAUCUGAAACAACAUGCAAGAACAAUGCCAAAUGCAAAACUUAGAAAUCAACCAAGAAACUUGAUUCAAUUUUGGAUCAAGACACGUGUUGAGAAACGCAAAAGAUUCAGUUUUUUUUUUGUCUCAUAGAGAGAAAGAGAUCAGUCACUGUCGAUGAACAUAUACACAGAACUGAAUAAUCUAAAGUAACGAAAUUUCAAGAUACUACGACGCUCGAAAGCAAAACCCUUAUCCUCAAAAUCCAAUUUGAUCAAAUCCAAAGAUAGUAAGAAAAACCCUAAUCAAUGUACCGAGCAGGAAGACGAUUGAAAUGGAGCCAAAGUUGAUCCUCGAAAUCAGGAAGAGUAGCUUCUUCGUAAUUAGAUUCUUGAAGUCGUUGUAAAACCUCACUGUAGACAUCAAGUUUCAUCCGGUAAUGUCUAGGGUUUUCUUGAGCCGGCGAAGCAACGACGGCUCUACUACCGCAACUCUCCGACUCGUCUUUGAUCGUCAUCGGAAAACAAAAUCCACGGCGGUGGAUCGGAAAAAAAAAGAAGUGAAACCUCUCAAAAUCCGGAAAAAAAAAAAGACGAAUGAUCUCCAAGAUUCCAAAUUAUGAGAGAGAGAUCUUGAGGGAUUCUUAUAGACGCGAGAAAAAAAAAAAAAAGGAUUAAAGAGAAGUUUGAGAGAGAUUUUUUGGGCUUAGAGUGAGGAGAGGAACGUUACUGUGUGUGGUGUUACACGUAGGGAAUAGCCACGUCAUCAUUUUGUAUGUUUUAUUUUAGAUUACAUAACCAUAAACAAUUGAUAUUUGUAGAUUUAUCAUUUACUCUAAUGAUGUGAUUUUAUGAUAAUUAAAUUCAUAUAUGGAAAGGUUCAAUUAAGGGAGAAAGAUAGACUAAUUAAAUUUGUUAGAUUUUUAUUAAGAAGUGGUUGAGAUUAAAUUUAAUUUAUUUUACUAUUUAAAUUUUACGGUUCAAUAUGUCAACUACAAAUACUUUUUGUCGAAUAGUAUCAAUCAUCCCAGCUACUUGGAGCUCAAAAAUUUUGAUAGUCGUUGUUGAAUUAAUAUUAAAAGAAAAAAAGUUGUGGAAUUAUCAUUCGUUAGGUUAGGUCAAAUUAACAUAUUCUUUUGGAAGCGAUGAAUAUUUUAUUGGUGUAACAUAAUCUUGACUUAAACCAAUGGUGUUAAUGGGAGUCUAAAUUAUUAGGGAAAUUGCUGUGUCUGUGUGACAUUUUCUAUUUAAGCAAUUAAGAAUCAAGCAAUAACAAUUAUUAAAACAUAACUAGUGGAAGACAAAGAUGAGGAACUUUGAAAAGAUAAUUCCCAUUAUACUAGUCGAGGAAAUAUGGAAGAAAAGAGGUUUUGAUUAGUAAGUAGCAUCGUAUCAAUGCAGUAUAUAUAGAGUUUAAUGUUUUAAUAAUCACUAAUCAUAUAAGUAGUAUCAAGUUAACAAGGGUGUUUUCAAUUAUUUUUUGUAUCGCUAUUUUCUACCACUUUAAAACUAUUUUGAGGGUGUAUUGCUCGUAGACAAUAAUGUACUCCAUAGGAGGAUGGUCGACCAAAUGACAUUCUUAUGGAAGGAAAUAUCUUCCUUUUCUAUUUGGCUCAUGCAAACCUGCAUGUGAAGAACGAGAGAAGAUCCUUGCAAACAAAGAGUUCGAGUUAAUUACCACAAAACACUACAUUACAAUAUAUAUGCGAAUUUGAAUUUAGAUAGUAGUACACAACUACAAAACUAACAUAAACACGUUAUCUAUCCCGGUCAAUAUUGAUAUGGUUUUCAUCUACAAAUAGAUAUACAAUUUUUAUAUUCGUAGUGGUGUUACUUUAAUUAGAAAUAAAUAAAUAAAACAUUUGCGUACCAGUUUAGUUAGAAGAUUCUAUAAAUGAUAAUUUUACUAUUUUAUGUUAACUAUACUCCUUUCAUUCUUUUAUAAGUGAUGUUUUAAGUUUCUAUUAUUUUUUUUUAAAUAGAUGAUGUUUUCAAUUUUCAAUGUAAAAUUAAUUACUUUUUUAUUGGUUUUGGCGAUAUAUAUUCUGUAGAUUGUUUUUUUUAUUGGUUGAUUAGAUAAUAAAUGAUAUUUUUGUUUAAAAAUAAACAAAAAUCAAAUGAUUUCUUAAUCUAUGUGCAUUUUUCUAAAACAUCACUUAUAAAAGAACAGACAGAGUACUGUUUUUGAAUUCAAUACGUCGUUAAUUACCCCACUUGUAGAAAUUUAGUGGUCCUUGAGCAUAUUAAUAUCGACAAUGACUGCUUGUUGUAAUUUUAUAAUACUAAUAACACAGUUAACGAAUUAGAUUGUCGAUGGUACCCGACAUCAUUAAUGACAAAUUCAAAACAGUGACUGGAUCACAAAUUAUUGGAUAAGAAUUGUUUGCCUUACUACUAAUUGUGAUUAAAUAAGUAAUCAAGAUAGGAAGAAGAAGAAGAAAAAUGAGAUUUGAGGACAUCCUCAGAAGAAUAUGCUUACAUUGACAUACAUAAACAAAUAAUCCACAUGUGUGAUAUAUAAAUAUGUAUUAUAUAUGAGCUUACCUUAGAUUAACUAUAAGUUGAAAGAAACAAACUCAAAAACGUACGUCCAUAAGGAGACAUAACAAGCAAGACGUCCGAGAGAGAAAGAUAGAGCACAUUUUUAAUUUUAUUUUGGCUUAGUUCUUUGGAUGCUCAAUUACAAAACCCUAACAUACUUUUGCCAAGACCAAAAAAAUUAUAUAGCUCACCUUGAAUCACGAUUGUGUCUCCUCCUGUCUGCACUUCCAUAAGGAGAGUUAAGACCGAUCUCUCCUUGACCUUUCUCUACGAGGUGGAGGUGAAUACUUACAGGUGACCGUCUUGGUGACCUAAGGUGUCCAUAAUCAUCACGCCUAUAGUUUCAUAAUUGUAACCUCAGCUUCAAAAGUUCCGGCUUUUACCAUUAUCCCAGCGCUUUUCAUGUCAACUCAAGAUAGUGCCCUGGGGUAGGAGUUCUUGGACGCUUUCUCCGCGACCGUAGAAAACAGAGUAUUCAAAGUACAUAAACCAACAUGCAAUGGAGACCAUUCAAGUUCACCAAAGAAAAUAAAAGGAGUACGAUCAAGCAAUAAAAUUGAUACUUGACCAGGUGCACAGUUAUCCAAAUGAAAAAGGGAAAUGAAUGAAUGCAACUGGUGAGCAUACAAAAAAAAAAAAAAAAAGCUAGCAAUACCAUAAAACCCUUCACUAAAAGUUGUUGGUAAUGUCCGCUAACUAGAUUUUCACUCUCGGUGUACCGCGGAGCUAUAAAUUUUUUAAAAAAUCAGAACGAUUUGGUUUCUAAAAUUUGUGCAAAUGGUAUAUAUAGAUAGUAUAAUAUAAAUCAUAUCGAUUUUAUAUUCUAUAAAAGUUUGCAAAUGGUAUCAUUUUAAGACAUUUAUAUUUUAUAUAUAGUUUACAAUUAUCAUUAAGUAACAGUAUGCCACAUGACAAUUUUUGUUUUCUACAAUCAUAACUACAAUCAUAAUUUUUGAAAAUACUGACAAUAAUUAACAAUUCGAGAAUCUAAAAAAUCUUUCCAAAAAACAAUUUCAAUGUGAUUAAGACAGAAUUAAUUAAUCAAUUAAUGUAUUAACAUUUAAAGCAAUGACAUUCAUCCGUAAAUACUUCUCAACUUCAGGAUUUAUUUGCUAAAUGUACUCCAAAAAUGUAUAUAUAGAUUAGUUGAGAGUUGAAGUUGUAUAGAUGUUGGGGUUGGGCAAUAUAUGAUAAGAGUUGUUCAUGAUCAUUUGGAAAAGCUGUUUAAGCUUGGGCCACUGAUCAAGCUGUGUUAAGGAUGAUCAUCUUUUGAUUGCUGAAUGAAGCAAUAUAAUUUCAGACCUAUGUUAUUAGGUUGCAUUUGCAUUUACUUUUUCCUCAUUGGACUUUCCUUUGAUUUUACACUUUUGUUGUUGCUGGAACUAUGUGGUAUGGUUCUGCAAGAUCUAAACAUCAGUUAUAUGUAAAAAUCUCUCAAGACCUCCUAUUUCAACACAUCAAACAAGGCUCAUCAUUUGUAUAAGGUGAAUGAACUAGCUAAAUAUGAGUAGCACUAAAUUAGCAUUCCAUUUCUAUAAUCCAAAACUAAGGCCUAAUCAAAUGCAACGUAAAUGAUUCACAGAUCAUUUCUAUAGAGAGCUAUCAGAUUCACACACAAACAAAAAACUUUUCUUUAUCCAAAAGAACAAAAAAAAAAAUUAUGUUCUUCUUUGUGUUUAUGCAUGUUUUGAUUAAAUGCUUUUUCCAAUAUUUUUAAAAUAUUGAAAAUAGUUUUUGAAAAUUGUAAGGCAACAAAUUUUUUUUCCUGUUUACUGUCAACGUAAUUCAGAAAAUGUUUGAUCUAUCACCAUUACGGUUACAAAUUAAAAUCUUAGCAACAAAACACAUUAUUUGUAAAUACGCUUAUUAAAUUACAUAAAGCCCACUAUCAAAUAGGCCCAUUAGCCCAAUAUAACAACGGCAGAGAUCAGAGUCAGUUACGACGGCGCUGACCAAAGAAAAAACGCGUCUCUGGAGAAAAUUCGUCCCAGAGAAGAAGAAAAAGCCGAGAGAGGAGGUGAGAAGAAAUCAGAAUUGAGAAGCAACAAACAAUGGCUUUAACGAUCUACACUUGCAAAGAAUGCGGAUCAGAUCUGAAUCUAAACCCUAACGAUUUAUUUCCUCCCGAUUUCUACUUCGAAGCCGGUAACAAAGGAACGCUCUCAUUCGCCGCCGUCGACGCCGAGAAAUUCCGAUUUGAAAAAGAAGACAAGAUCAUGCCUUUCUUCGAAACCCUAAAUUACUGGGGAAUCCAACGGAAACGAACCAAGAUCAAGUGUAAUAGUUGCAACCACCUCAUCGGCUACAUCUACGACGAUGGUCCUCCGCUCACUGGUGGUAUUGGUCAAUACGGAUUCGGUCCGAGUCAAGUCAUUCCUCGUGCUCCUCGAUAUCGAUUCAAAACCAAGGCGGUUCAAGUCUCGUCCCAGACUUAGCUGAAGCAAAAGGGUUGUUUAAGGCUUUACAUAGAUAUGUAUAAACUUGUCAAAAGGGUUAAUAGGAUUGUAGAUGUUUGUUGCUUAAAAAUCAGGUCAUAAAGGCAGUUAGACCUUUGUGUUGCCAUCGUUCUUGGCGCUCGCUUCACCAAAAGCGCCAAGACCGAUGGCAACAAGGAGGUUUAACCGCCUUCUGAGCUGAUUUUUGUUACUUGCUUUUGAAGAAACAUCUACUAUCCUAUUCUCUGUUUUAUCUCUUGUCUAUUGUAGAAUCCGGUAUAGUGAAUCGGAUCGAGUAGCUAGUUUAGUUAAGAUGUGUGGUUGGCUUGGAUUUUGAUCAUAUAUGUAAUGUUUGUGUUUGUUGUGAAUUUGAAUCACAUGGUUUGGGGAUGAUUGUUCGUCGUUCGAUGAUUUGGUGAUGCAUCUUUUCGUAUUUUGUUCAAUAAGCAUCGGUUUGUUUUAUUUGAUGAUUCGUUUAACUUGUGGGAGUAAUUCAUUAUUCAGUCGUUGAAGUUUUGUACGAGGAACGUUUGUUAAAAACAAGUUCCAUAGGCUUAAAGAGAAAGUGAAGAACAGAGCAAAAACCAAUAGUGUUAGUUUAAUGGAGGACGUCAUAUGAAAAUGACAUUUUGGUGAUAUUGAUUGUGACCUCCAUUUAUGAUUCAACGGCUGUGAGUGAAUGAUGUAAUAUUAGUUGUUUCAAGACCAUAUAUUUUGUAUUAUCCACAGACUACCUAAUUGCUUAAAUUAUUGUUGAUGUUGAUAAAGAUUAGAAGUUACAUCAACUACUUGUCUUUCCUUGUAUAGUUUGUCUUAACGUACAAGAUAAUUUGAAGGGUAGACGUAGACGUUGGAUACUUCUUUGGUAGGCUCUUAAGAAUCUUAGGUGUAUCUCUUUAGUUUGAAGGUUAGAUUCAGAAUCUCUGUAGAUUCAUUUUGGUGUGAUCGUUGUGUUGUAUAUAAAGUUCCAAGUGAUUUAGCUGGUGAAGUUGUGGUAUGAAUAUGAAGAAACAGAUUAUGGAUGAGUCUGAGAAGUCAUUGAUGCCGCCUCCUCCUCCACCGCUUCCUCCAUCUCCGGGAUAUGGAUUUAGAAAGAUCCAUGGAGACAGCAUAACCAAUAAACAGAUCAAGAAGUUCUGGAGACAAAAGCAGAUUAUUGAAGAGGAUCAUCUAUAUUCUGCUAUUAAGGCUGCAGCUCGUGUCAGAGCUCGUAAUCUCUCUGUAUGUCCUUUUGCUUUUAACAAUUCCUGUGUGGUUGUUUAGAUCGUUGAAGAGGAAAAUCGAUAUUUCUUGAUCUCGUGCUUUCAACUCAAUCGAGAUCAAGAUGGUUCUGAUGUCUAUUGCAGGAUGAGGAUUACAAACGCUUUGAAGAAAGCUUGGACAUGGAGGACCUGAAAACUGAAGAUCAUCAGGGAUUGAAAGACUGGUCUGUUUUUAAUUCUCAUCAAUAUAAUCUUUCAUCUUUACAUAUAUCUUGAACCAUUCAAUGAGCCUAAAACAAGAACCACCUGGUUUUUGUCUCGGCUGUUUCGCGAUUUAACUUUGAAUUUCGAUGUGUAUCUUGGAUUCAGGUGGACAAAGAGCAAAUACGCAUACUUGAACCAGCCCGCUCUUGGAUAUGCAGAUUCACUGAAGAGAAAGAGGUUUUCAACAUAUACACCAAACUGUUUCUCGUUCAAGCCUUGCAAUCCACUCUACGCAACUUCGCUCAAUGUCUUUUGAACCAUGAGCAGCAAACUCUGCAAGAUCAAUUGUCUUGCAUAUAUGUAUAUAUACGUUCGUGUGUGUGUCUCUGUACAUUCAUGUGUUAAUGCUUCUAUGUUAAUGGAUCUGGACUUUGGUGUGGUUUUUGAUUUGUAACUGUUGAAUAAAAUGUUUCUAUGGGACAUUAAUUUCUUCUUGUUCCAUAUUGUGUACUUUGGUGUUUUUUCAAUUCUACGCCAUAAGAAAGAUUUUAUACAUGCUCUAUUUAUCUCAAUUUGGAUAACUGACUUGUUGCUAAAUUUAAUCACAAACGUAAAACAUUUUCCAAUCUUUAGAUUUGAGUGACUAACAACCAGCGUUUGGUAUAUACUAUCCUUUAAACAAAUGUAUAGUUAACAUGAGUUUCUUUUUUCUUCAUUUAAACCUUUGUCAAGUGGUGGUUUUGCAUUGAACUUCUUGCUUUAGGUCUGAAGUUUGCUUUAAAUCUGCAUAAUUUGCUACAUAGCUAUUUCGAAUUCAGCUUAUGAAAAUGUAAAUAGAAGUCUUAUAAUUCAAGAUUUUUUUCUACCAUUGAUUUUUGGGAAAUUGUUAAAAAUACCCCUUUUGGUGUACCUCUUUUCAAAAAUGCCCCUUUUAGAUGUCCAUUUUCAAAAAUGCUCCUUUUUAAAUCUGAAAUUUUUAUAAAGUUUUAUUAGGUUUAUAAGUCAAGUGAUGUCUUUUGAUAUCAAUGUCAAGUGAUGUCUUUUGAUGUCGUUUUCAAGCUUUCAUUGGCAGAUCAUUUGACAUUGAAGACCUUGGCAGUCUCCUGCAUAAAAUGCUCAAAGUGCCCAAAAUGAGUUUGUGAAUGAAUGUGAGAAUGAGUUUAACAAAUACAUCACUUCAUCAUUGGAUCAUAUACAAGGUUUAUUUCAAAGUUUCACAUAUGCAUGCAGCAAUGGUAAGUGUAACCAUGAGAAGAAUCUACAUCUUAGAGCAACCAUGAGAAUAUAAGACUCAAUGAUGACAUUAGAUUUGUAAGGACUUAUUUGUAAAAUUUAAUUUGUUUGAAGUUCUAUUAAUCUAUCGAAUAUGUAACCUAUAUACGUUGUAACUGUUAAGUUUCUCAAAUAUUGUAAAACUAAAAUAUAAUAAUGGUGUAGUAUGUGGAAUUUUUAAUUCAAAAAAAUUGUAUAGCUUGAGAUAUUUAUCGAAUUUAAGACUGUGUUGUGCAGUAUGUGCACAAAAUUUGUUGAUUUUGGUACUUGUGACAUUAUAGAUCCAACGAUAAAAUGAUUUAAAUUUUAGUGAAUAUAUAGUCAUUUUUAUCGAAAUAAUUGGUUAAAUUAUAAAAAAAAUUGUAUAAAGCGAAAAUGAAGUGAUUGUAGCAACCACAACCAUCAUAUAUAUAUAUAUUUUUUUUUUUGCUCCAAGAUUGUUAAAUUGUUUUAUACACGAAUUGUAAGCAUAUGACUUAAUAUAAAAAAAGAUAUAUUAAGUUAAAUUAGUUUUCCAAUUUAAUUGGUAUCAAUUGUAAAAUAAGUUAUGUUAUAUUCUUAUUUAUUAUGUAAUUAUUAACUGACCUUUUUUAUUUAACAAUAAUCAUUGGUUGACCAUCUCAAUUUGAAUAUAAACAAAUAAACUUAAAGAAGUGAUCAAAUCAUGUAUUGGUUAUGUCUAACAUGUUCUUACCACGUCUUAAUUCAUAGAUAAACAUAUACAUAUACAUUGAUUUAUUUGAUUUUUGUUUUGUUUGUGUACGUUAGAAACAACAACUGUGAAAAUGGAUAACGCGGAAUAGAUAAACAGUUUGAACCCAAAAAAAAAACCCCAAAAUAAGUUAAUAUGAAACAAAUGCACUAGAUGAAAAGCUUAUUUAAGUCUCAAAAUUAACAAAUAGUUUUUUUUUAUAUACCAAAAAGUAUAUCUUUAAAUCUUGAAUGACCAAGAUUAUCUUUUAUAAAUUAAAACAAAUCUAAAAAUCAUUAGUUGACCGAUCCAGUUACAAUAAUUAGGAUAAUAUUAUUAAUCGUCAAAACAAACGGGGUGAAUCAGAAAUAUCAAAAAGUAUCGGGUACAGAAACAGAAAAAGAAGAAUAUAAAAGACCGAGUCCAAAUUUCCAAAAAGUCAAAGCCACCUUCCUAACUUGUCUGCAUAGACGAAGAAGACAAAGAAGAAGAGAAUCAAUCACACAAGAAAAAUUAUAAUCCUUCUUAAUUCUUAUUAUAUAUAAAUAAACUUCAAUCUAAGCUUCGUCGUAAUUUCUCUUCCGUUCAAUGUUGUUCUUUUAGAUCUCGAACAAAACAAAAUCUCCAGAAAAAAAAAAAAUCAAUUUCCAUGGCGUCUAAAUCGAAGCAACAUCUUCGUUAUCAGCCACGGAAAUCUGUGUCACGAUCAACACAAGCUUUCACAGUGCUUAUUCUUCUACUUGUAGUGAUUCUGAUUCUUCUGGGUCUCGGGAUUUUGUCGCUACCUAAUGCUAAUAGAAACUCUUCGAAGACGAAUGAUUUGACCAACAUUGUACGAAAAAGGUUAGGGACAAUUUUCGAUCUGGGUUUUUGUUUUUGAUUUGAAAGUUUUGAUUUUUAUGAUUUGGGUUUUUUGGAAAAUGUUUAGUGAGACGAGUUAUGGAGAUGAAGAUGGGAAUGGUGAACGUUGGGUUGAAGUGAUUUCUUGGGAGCCUCGAGCUGUUGUUUAUCACAAUUUCUUGGUAAGUUUGUGUUUUUCUCUAUGAUGAUUUUGAUUUGAAUUAGGACUUAGAUUAGUAUUUCUUGUUAGACAAGAUAAGAGAUUUGAGCUUGUUUUUGAAAUUGAUCGAUGAAGUUGACUUUGUUCUUGUGUAGAAUUUAGAGUUUUGAUCUUAUUGAAUCUUUCAUUGAAGAAUGUUUCAUUGACUUUGUUCUGCACUAGUGUAUAGAAAUGUUGAACCCUUGAAUGACAUGUAUCCCUCAUUUGCCCAUGAGAAGGAUUGGAAAUGUGAUUUUGGAGAUUUUGUGUUUGAAAUGAGUUUCGAAUGUUUGAGAUGUGAUUUCUUUUCAUUUUUGUUUGUUUAGAGCAAUGAAGAAUGUGAGCACCUGAUCAAUCUUGCUAAACCGAGCAUGGUUAAGUCAACUGUGGUUGAUGAGAAAACCGGUGGGAGCAAGGAUAGCAGGUUUAUAGCGACUCUUUCCUUUUGUCCUUCUAGUUUAAUUUGGAAAGGUUUGUUUUUCUUAUCUGAUAGAUGCUGUAUCAAUCCUGUGUAGAGUAAGAACUAGCUCAGGAACUUUCCUUAGAAGAGGACAUGACGAAGUUGUCGAAGUGAUUGAGAAAAGGAUUUCAGAUUUCACCUUCAUUCCUGUUGGUAAGUGCGCUUUGCUUUAGUUUAUCCAAUACUUUGAGGCACAAAAGGAAGUGUUGACACAUCUUGAGAUCAUCAGUUGAAGUUACUCUUGAUAUCUUUAGUUUUGUUCCUUUGGAAAGCCCUUAGUGAGUUUGUGGUUGACGCUUUUGUUUGUAGAAAAUGGAGAAGGUCUUCAAGUUCUUCACUACCAAGUUGGGCAGAAGUACGAGCCUCACUAUGACUAUUUCUUAGAUGAGUUCAACACCAAGAACGGAGGACAACGAAUAGCUACUGUGCUUAUGUACCUGUAAGUAGCUCACAAAACUCAUUAUCCUUUUUUCUCAGUGAAUUUCUGUGUUUCAUCUUGUUUUUUUUUUCAUACGAUACCUUAGCUCGGAUGUCGAUGAUGGUGGCGAGACUGUGUUCCCUGCAGCAAGAGGAAACAUUAGUGCAGUCCCGUGGUGGAACGAGCUCUCAAAAUGUGGUAAAGAAGGACUAUCUGUUCUACCAAAGAAGCGAGAUGCUUUACUUUUCUGGAACAUGAGGCCUGAUGCCUCUCUAGACCCUUCGAGUUUGCACGGUAAUAAAGACUAAAGAGAUUCAACACCCAAAACUCUCUUAAUGCUUUCCCUUGAAGCUAAUAAAAAAUAUCUGUCUCUCUAAACUUCAAUAUCCUCUGCUUUGAUUUUCAGGUGGAUGUCCAGUGGUGAAAGGAAACAAAUGGUCAUCCACGAAAUGGUUCCAUGUCCACGAGUUCAAGGUUUAAGAACCAAACACAGAAAAAAAAAACUAAAAUUUGAGGAGGUAAUCUCUUAAAUCUCAAGCUAUCCAUCAAUGACAUGUUCAAGAUUGCCUCAAGUCUUUAAUCUUUAUCGUCAACAUAUAGGUUUUCACGGAAGCUUCAAAUUUGUGUGGAUACAGAUAAACAGAUGUACUAUGUGUUUCCCUUUUGAAGUGAGAGAUCCUUAGGAAAUUGGAGGCUGUUUUUCCUUAGGGAUAUUUGAACUUUUUCCUUUAAACUAUUUGUACUUUACGACAUGUUCGGAUCUGAGUUUUUGUAACUUUAACAACUCAAUACAACCAUGCAUUUUCCGUUUACUUGCAGCCUACUUGGGAACAGAUUCAAACGUUGUGGCCUCGUGCGAACGUUUGGUUUAAGUAAGCAAUUCCAAAACUUGCAUUUCUUGUCUGGCUGCCUCACCAUCACCGGUUUCAAAAUAAUUACUAACUCAUUAAUUUUUUUUAAGUUAUGAAGCAAUACAAAAUUAAUUUUGAAAUGACUAGUGUAAUGUAUUCGUAAGUCACAAUUUUAGUUGUUAGUAAAAUAAGAACCACUAGAAUCUAACCCGCGGUACACCGCGGGGCUAUAUAUUUUUAAAGAAAUGUAAUUUUUUUUUAUAAAGAUUAACUAAAGAUAUAUCAUAUUAAUUUAUAUUUUUUAAAUGUAGAUAUCUAUCUGUGUAUUAUUUAGUGUAUGAUUAUUAUUGUUUAGGUUUCAAAUUUUAAUGUAUAGAUGCGAAAACAUACAGUUUAUUAAGUAACGAUGUAUGGUGGAUUUAAAAAUUUGAAUAUUUUACCCCACACUAUAUUGCUUGUUUUGUUUCAUGGUAUACCGUGAGACUAUAUGCUAAUUUAAAAUUAUAAUGUUAAAGAUUUGAUGAGUAUAUAUAGCUGUAUAUUUUAAAGAUUUGAUGAGUAUAUAUAGUUAGAAAUCCAUAUCUAUAUAUUAUAUUGUUUACGAUAAACAUGUUUUCAGAUUUUUCAGAUUAUAUAGAUAAUAGUUUUAAUUGAGUAGUAAGAAUUUUGGUUUACUAUAUCUUGAUUAAAUUAAUAAAUAUAUAGAUAAUUAAGUCUAAAAUUUAUAAAAUAAAAUAAAAUUUAGAGAAUCAAGUCUAAAAUCCACGACUCUUACUGCUACAAUUCUGACAAAAAUAAGCUACAAAUAUAUGUACAAAAACCCGUAAUUGUUACAAAGUUGUUAAUGGGAGAAAAUCAAAACCAUUGAGAUUCUCUUGAAACUAAUAAGUAAUAAAACAAACAAAAUUCAAUAUUAUCUCAUUUCUCGUAAGAGAAAAGUUCACUCAACGAUGUUGGUUACACAACGGAUCUUUACCUGAAAAUAUUCAUUGUAAAACAAAAUUUUAAUUAAAAAAAUUUGGAAAAUAAUGUUAAAAACAAAUUGUUGAUGUAAAAUGGCGCUUUGAAUACUAUGUUAUUGUUGAAGAAGCGUGUCGUCACGUCUUCUUGACUCAGACGGAGUUGUAACAGUUGCCGCAGUAGACGACGGUGUAGUCAACGUUGAAGACGACAAUUUGCAGACGACAAUUUGCAGAAAGUCAUUGUUUUAUUUUCCAUCUGAAGGAUUUGUCCCUUCUACAAAAAUGAAAAAAAUAUUAUGAGAAAAGAAAAAACAUUGCAGAUUAUAAGAAAGAUUAAGAUAUACUCACGUUAAUGCAGUUAUGUGAUUACAAAAAAAAACAAAAUCUCAAACAUAAAAAUUAAAUUUGAAUUAAGAACAAAGAUUACCUUAUGAAUAUACCUUGAAGGAUGUAUGUGCUAUUUUUGCUAGAUGCGAGUAUAGUUUGGAAUGAGAUUAGAAAAAUAUUUGCUUGAUGAAUCUAGUAGUGGAGUAAAGAUUGGUAUUUAUUGAGAAGGUAGAAGUCUAGGUUUAUGGUUUAGGUGAUAUGAGAAUAUCAAAGAUACGAAUAAAAAAAAUGGUUAUCACAAUGAAUGAUUGUAAUAAUUAAGGGAAGAUUAGGAAAUUAGGAGAUAACAAACUUUAUCUCUAAAAGAUUGAUGAUGAUUUGGUUUAGGUAACGUUAGUUUAUCAUUAAUUUGGAGAAUAUGCCAUUAAUUUGUUUCUCAUUUCAGUUAACCGAGAAUCGAUAUAUUGACCCGAUUCGCUAAUGAUUGUUUUAAUUAGUAGAGAAAUUAGUGUUUGCCAUUAGUAUAAAUCGUAUAUGGAGUUAAGACAUUGUUUCUAUUACUGAAAAUAAUUGAAUGCUGUUUUAUAUGUUUGAGAUAUUUGUCGAGAUAUUAGAAAAUAUUUUGGCGAGAUUUUUGGUAACAAUUUGAGAAACGAAAUAAAAUUAAAAAUCUUUAUUCAAAUUAAACAAAUCUAAACAAUUAAUGUCAAUGGCAUUCAUCCGUAAAUACAUUCCAACUCCAGGAUUUAUUUGCUAAAAGUCAUCCAAAAAUGUAUAUAUAGACUAGAUUUGAACCCGCGAUACACCGCGGGGCUAUAAUUUUUUUUAAAAAAUCUAAAUAUAAUUAGUUUUGUUUAUUAAUAGAGAGUAUAUAAUAUAAUAUCUUAUUUUAUAAAUGUACCAUCCAUAUAUCUAUAUUAAUAAUUUUGAGUAUAUUAAUUGUGUUUUAGGUUUAAAUGGUAUAUCUAUAUAUACAAUUAAACGACAUUUGGCUUUCUUCUUCUUCUUGCCUCAGUUUAGGAGAAAGAUUUUUCAUGCGGUACACCGCAGAACUAUUUUUUUAAAAAACAAUUCUCCUUAAACUUCUAAAUCUAGAUUUUACCCCGUGGUACACCGCGGAUCAAUUUUUUUAUAACUAAAAAACUAUUUUGCAAAAUUUUAAAUUGUAUUUGUUUUGUUAAUAUUGUUUAUUUUGUUUAGUGUUUCUGAUUUUAUAAUUAAAUUUUGAUUUUUAAUUCUAGGAUUUCAUCCAUAAUAUAUUGUUUAAUAUUAAUAUUGAUCUAAAUCCGUUGCACCAUAUAACCCCGUCCCGUAAAAUUAAACAUCAUUUGUUAUUUUUUUUGAAUAAUAUUUUUAUCCACUACGGGUUGCAGGUUCAUGCGGAUAAGCCCGUAGAGAGUUGCGGGUUUGCGGAUCGACCCGCCAAAAGAGAAACUAUCUUUUGAAACCCUUUGUUUUGUUUAGAGGUUUUAAGAAAAUAUCCCUAAAAAUAAUUUUUAUUAUAUGAAAAAAAAAAAGUAGAAGAAAUUGUAGUAUCAACAUUCCCGAUUUUUACAUCACUCGUUACAAUUAAUUUUUUUUUUGCAGAUAAAAAUCAGAAGUUAACUAAGUCGAGAUUUUUAAAAAGAUUGUGUAGAAAUUUUUGGUAAAUUGUUGAGAACAUAUUUGAUUUCAGAAUCUUUACUUAAAUAGAUAAGGAAAGAUUUUGUAGAGACUUUUGCUAAAUAUAUGAGAAAUGAAUUUCAAUUAAAAAUCUUUACUUAAAUAAAAUAAAUCUAAAUAAUUAAUGCUAGUGGCAUGUCAAUGUAAAUACUUCUCAACUUUAUGAUUUAUUUGCUAAUUAUGAUCCAAAAAUGUAUAUAUAGAUUGGGGAUAUCCACUCCGUUUCAAAGAUGUGAAUUAUACAUCUACUUAUAUUUAGAUAAAUAGAUCCAUAAACCGUAUAAUUACUAAUAAUAACUUUACAAAUUUUAUUUAUCAAACUAAAUUACUUACUAACUAAAUUUUAAAAGUUAUGAACAAUACAAAUUAAUUUUGAAAUGCCAAAUGUAAUGUAUUCUUAGUCACCAUUUUAAAGUUGUUAAUAAAAUCUAGUAUCAAUUAAAAUUUCACCACUUUUCCAUGUUUUUUGAUAGUGACUAUUUUUGGUUAGUCAAAUCUAGUACUAAUAACACCUAUACAAACAAAUUUUUCAAGAUUUUUUGGUCAACUCUCACCUAAAUUGGACUAUAAAGAACCAUAUAGAGUACCCUCAAUUUCGCCAUUGAAAGAUUUAUCAAAAUAACAAAAAAAAAAACUUCACCACCGAAAGCAAAAAAAAAAAAAAAACAAUAUUUUGAAAAUGAAGAGCAUAUUUUUUAAGCUUUUGUUAUUGGUUUCUCUUCUAGUCAUUACCUUCCGUAAGUAUACCUUAUAAAACAAACCAACUGAAAUUUACAUAUCUCUUUACUCUUUACCAAUAGUUAAAACUAAACUUUGUUAAUAAAAAAAUAUUUCACAAAAUAACCGAGUUUGCAGAAAAGGGAAUUAAAUUAAAGUGCUUUGUUGGAAAUCAAUUUAAAGUUCGUCAUUUGAACUUUUUUUAAAAUAUAAAUUUUUUUUUGGGUGAUUUUAUUUUCAUUUUGUUAUACUUUGUUGGUUGUGUUUAAAGGACAAAACUAUGCAGUCGCGGAUUAUUGUGAUAGAGACGAUGACUGCAAGCCAGUAUGCAUGAGACCGUACGCUUGCAACUUGACCCGUCACGUUUGUAUGUGUCGUCCAAAUGAUGUCAGUUCUUCUAAACAACGUUGUAUUCCAGAACAUAAAGGUUGUGGAAGAGGACCUCCACCGCAUUGAUUGAAAUUAUAAUUGAAAAACAUGCAUGUAUAUGUUCUGAUAAAUAGUUAUUUGAAUAAAAUGACUAAAAAGUUAUUUGAAUAAAAUAUAAUUUAUUUUUAAGAAAUUUGAUGAUUUAAUGUGUGGAUGAUCAUAGCUUAGGUAUAUGAAUCAUGUCUUGAUUUAUUGAAUGUAUAAAUCAAUACGAAUUAAGAUCACUUAAAUUGAAACAUACAAGAAGAGUAAUUUGACAAAAUAUUUUUUGUUUUCAGCCGAGUCUUAAAAAUCAUGCAUACUUUUGAGAAUUGAAAUAUUUUCAAUAUAACUCCAAUAUCGUAAUGAACUCUGAAAUUGAAAAGAAGACCUUAUUGUGCCCGCGCCACAAACAAACAUAUCCAUGUUAAACACAAUUAAUCAUAUAAGUUGAUAAUAUUAAUUAAGCUAACUAUUAAGUCUCAAGUUUGCAUUUUCAGAUUUUUUUUCAUACUCAACACAACUUUGUUUACGAAAAUGCAUAAUAUUGUUGUCGAUAUAUAGUUAUAUUGCGAAUUGUUAAUUAGAUUGAGAGUUUUAUUUACGAAUUGUCACAUAGGGAGAUAAAUCUUCCAAACAAUGUAUUUUGUUUGGGAAAAAAAUGGUUACGUCGAAAGUUUUUCUUUGUAUGUUUGAUGUUUCCUAAUAUAAUAAGAGUGUAGGCUAAUUUUAUACAGAGCUCAAAAAGGGUACAAACACAUGUAUCUUCUUUCGUCUACACACGUACAACACGACGCCAUACACAGAAAAGAAAACCAUUCUUAUCAUAAAUACGUUAUCCUGAGUUUUUAAUAACUUUCCUUCGCUAUUACCUAUUUAUGUAACUCUGAUGUGUGUAUGGGACUGGCCUAGUGGCAUGGACCCAAAUGUCUUUAGGAUUAAUGAAAAUAUAUAUCUUCGGGCCGAUAUUUGUUGAAAUGUCGUAUACAUUUAUGUAUAUACACCAGUGUUAGAGUAUUUAUUAUAAGGAAGCCACUACGUUACAUGUAUUAUUUAAAUAAUACUUAAGAUAUUUAUUUUUAUUUUUCUAUUAAGAGAAAUAAGUGUUUGAAUACUUUAUUUUACUUUGGAGAUGGACACAUCCUCCUUCUUACAUCGAAUUCAUUAGUAUUAGAUAUGUAUUAAAAAAAUGUCAUGUGCAUAGAAGAUGUGUUACAGAAGGCUCUCAGAUUGAGAUUUGUAACUAGGCCAAGUUGUUCAUGAAGAUAGGAAGUGUAAUUUUGCGGCAGUCUUGAUAGCUAGGAGUUUCACUAGAGAGAAACGGUUCCAAUCAUAUGUAGUAAUUGGCUACCUUUUUGGCUUCAGAAGGUGUUCGAAGAUGAUAUAUGCAUUACUAUUGUGUAAUGAGUUCUGUAGUUUGAUUGUAAUUGUUCUCUUUUUGUAUGUGACCUUUUGAUUAAUAUAUAGAAUUAUUCAGACGAAAAAAAAAAAAAAAAAAGAUGCGUUACAAAAGCUACUCGGUCCAUUCAUUCAGUUUAGAGAUCGUCGUUGUUAAGUUCAUUGGCUUUUAUCAAUUGAAGUGAAUUAAUACGUAUUUUGUAUUUUAAAAUUAUCUCAUUCUUUUUAUUUUUAAUAAUCGGAUAAAUCCCUUACCGAAUCGUCUCAAACUAAUCCCCAAAAUUUAUAUAAAUUCGGAUUUUCUUAUCAUUUAAGACGUUUACGGAUAGUCAAACUGUACAAAAUGAUAUAUCUCAUUAUUAACACUACUUAUCAUUAAAAUAGUUUAUCUAAUCGAUUUUGAGCCAAAUUUAUUCCAAGGACCGUAGGCCGUAGCAUAUCUUAUUGAACCACUCUUUGGAUUAAUUUAGUUAAACUGUUAUAACUUUUUGUUUUGCUUUGAAUGUCCACAAAUAACAUUUAGAUCCAUGAAAUUUAGAUAUUUAUAUAUUGAAGUUACCAGUAGAAAAACUUUUGUUUUGUUUCCUAAUUAGGUUGUCUUACAUAAUAUGUUGGGUUUAAGAGAAACAAACAAGGUAAAAUUGUUGUACGCGAUUAGUGUAUAUAUAUUGAUAUUCGUAGUUCUUUUGAAUACAAUCGGAGCCAUUAUGAUUUAUCAACAAUGAACUAUUCCACGAGGAAUGAAUUGUAGAAAAGCCAACAACCAUUUAGACAAAAUAAUAAUUGCUUGGCAUAGUGUUCACGUUUUUUUUUGUUAACUGAAUCUGGAGACAAAGCUCACAAGUCACAAUUCACAACUACUCAUUAUUAUUUUUGUUUAAAGUAAACAAAGUUUGUAGUUCCCGUUAUGUGAUGAGAAAUCAUAGUUGCAUUAAGUGUAAAAAUAAAUUGAACGAAAUUUAGAUCAAUUUAAGGAUAUGCUUGUUAAAUCGAUAUACAUAUAUAUAUAUAUAUAGUGAUUUUUUUUUUGGUGUUGUCAACUUAUAUUAAAGUAGGGUGAGUUAAAUAUCUAUGCCUAGAGGAAUGAAAAAUAAAGAAUCUAACCAUGAAGAUUUGUUAUUUAGUUCUCUUUCAACUGACUUCCAUUAAUACCAAAAAUACCCUUUGUUACAUAUGCGCGUUAACAAGAAAACUAUCAAAAUAAAAAUGUUUAGAUACAACAGUAGAAAAUAAGUUUUAGCGGUAACAAGCUUAGAUAGUUAAUUAUUUGAUUAGCACGCUAUAUAAUAUUUUAUGUCGAUAUAACUUAUAACAAGAUGUUUUUUUUAAACAUUAGCAAGGUAAACGCACUAUUCGUCUUAUGUCGAAAACAUGUUUCUCGUGUCAAAUUAUUUAUUAUAUAAUUAAUAUCAACUAACUCAUACAUUUACAUGUUUAUUUACUUUGAUAAUUUAAUUAUUGCCGUUAACUUAUACAUUAAUAAAUUAGUUAUCACUCUAACAUAUCUUUUAAAGUGAUAAAUUGUAUGCUACAUCAUAGAUAACUAUAUACAUAACAAAUUAUUUAUAAUUUUAUCAUGUUAACAACGAAUUUUGUUUUAAUUUUACUCGGUAACUAAUAGAUUAGCAAUUAUUUUUUUCGUAACAUGUUAAAAUAUUUAUUUGUUCAUUAGUUAUCUCGGUAACUAAUAUAUUAACAAUUGUUAUAUAUUAGUUAGGAUGGCAAGAACAGAGGGAUUAGUUCUAUUUGUCUUCAAAAUCUAAAUCACCAUUGUUGUAAUAACCAGUUUCGUCGGAAUUGAAUAAUCACUUUGUCAAAAUUUGGGAACCAACACCCGCCUUGGUCUUCCUUUUUGCUGAAUCGAAGACUGACGCUUUGAUGAUUUGUUUUGCAUAGCUAUCGACACGUCUGUGUCGGAUCUAGAACCAUCAAAACCAUUGGUAUCUUUUAAUUUCACACCCAGCAAAAACUAUAAGCAAAAGAGAGAGGAUGAUGAUGGAGAAAGUUAAAUAAUUUGUUUUAGUGAGAUGAAGAGAAGUUUCAUAACAAGACCAGCAGUUCUGCAAAAGCCAAAGCAAAAAAAUGGUGGUGGUGAGAAGUAAAAGAACGGUUGAACGAACUAGGAUGGAGCACGACAUCACUACGACAAUCUUUUCAUGAAAGGAUGUACCAUCUAGAUCGUGCGACGGGAGAGCAUAGAUGAUGAGAUCAUAGUGGAUGAGUAGAUAUCGACGUAUCGUCACCACCGCAUAUCAAUUUUUUCGAUCUAAGUUUUUCCAAUUUCUUCAAUUGUUUGAUUAAUAUAUUUCAAGGGUAUAAUCGUCAUAAAAACCGAAACAGUAAAAUGAAACAGUGUUGAAGUGAGAGAACUAAAUUUUGAUUCUUCUGAGCAUAGAUAGUGAUAAUACCCAUUAAAGUAUUGUGGUGGUUAAAUAGGUAUAUCUAAUAACCAUUCUUGAACAAGUGGAAUGAGACAAGUGAACUCAACCAAAUUUUUACUAUUUUUUUAAUUGAUGUGUACCAUCCUAAUCUUACAAUUAUCUAAAAAUGUUAGGUGGAUUAUUUCACAUCAUAUUUAUUCACACACGUUUAUGAGAAAAUCGUUUAAAACAUACUGAAUUCAAGGUUUUUUUUUAAAUAUGGCAAACUUUUACUUUGACGUAAAGUGCACUAAAUUGAUUUUAAAAACCACAAACUUUAUAGAAAAUACUCUCUUUAAUUGAUUGAGCUCUGUUAGAUUAAAUAUUUAAAGUAUAUAUUAAUUUAUAACGAUUCAAUUUAGUGGUGAAAAUGGACCGUCUAAAUCUAAGUUGCAUGGAAACUUUACCUGAAAUCUAUUUCCUGUUUAGAAAUACAAGGAAACCCGAUAGAAAAACUGUGAAAAUAUUAUUUCCGUAUUUCGACACAUUUGGUUUUCUGUAUCCGUUUUUGUUUCUAUGCAACAUAGGUCUAGACGAUUUCAUUUGUGACCACUUUAUCGUUCAAAUAAACUCAUUGUAGACAUCCACAAAAUUAGUGUAUGUAAACCAAUUUUUUCAUUUGUCAACUCAGCAAAAGUUAAAUGCGACGGCACCGUCUUGUGAUGAAGUUAGAAUAUUCCAAAUCAAAGUUGGUAAAUGGUGUUAAACAUUAAAACAAAUGUACACGAAUUAGCUAAAUACAAAAUCAGGAUCUUAUUCUUAACCCUUUUUACUUUUCAAAGCAAAUGGAUUUACCUAAGAAAUAACGUCCUAAAAUUUGGCUUACCUAAAGAAAAAGUUUACUAAAUUAAUUUUCGAAAAAGCUUUUACCAAAUGAAAAUACGAAAGUUCUUUGCUUUGCCCCGUGAGCUCAUCUCUCUUCUAUCUCUGACUCGUGCUUUUUCUGAAAACGAAAAGUUUGAAACUUUGGUUUCUCUUCGUCACUGAUUGAGACACAUAAAAGCCCUAAAAGAUAAUCCUUCUUCACCUACAACAAAUUCUAGCCAUGAAAGCAAACUCACCCAAAGCUUUAAAUGCAAAGUAGCGAAACAUCCCAUCUCCUCUCUCUUAAGCACUAAGCAAAAACCCCAUCUUUCUCUCCUUCUAUAUAAUCCCUCUCUUCAAGAACUCUGCUUUCAUCAGAAAUCGUUUCUGGGUUCUUAAGAAAAACAUGGCCUCAUCAUCAUCUUAUAGAUUCCAAUCUGGGUUUUGUCCUCUUUCGUCAAGUCCUUCUCUUGGGAAUUUCGUCGAACGAAUUAAAGACGCUUGUCAUUUCCUCGUUUCUGCUGUUCUUGGUACCAUUAUCUCGGCGAUCUUGACCUUCUUCUUCGCACUAGGUUCGUUUAUUGUAACUGUUCUUGGGAUUGUCUGGAGUUUGAUACUCGAUUUUGGAUCUGAUUUUGUCUCUGCUGCAAAUUCUGAGAUUGUUAUUUUUGAUUAGAUUGAAUUGAUUCAUGGUUAUUAGAAAAUUUGUAGCUUGGAGCUAAGAAAGUUGUUUCCUUUAUUCUUUGUUCAGUGGGCACAUUGCUUGGGGCACUUACAGGAGCUUUGAUAGGUCAAGAAACUGAGAGUGGUUUCAUUAGAGGAGCAGCAAUUGGAGCCAUUUCUGGAGCUGUUUUUUCUAUUGAGGUCUUUGAAUCAUCGCUUGAUCUCUGGAAAUCCGAUGAGUCGGGUUUCGGAUGUUUUCUCUACUUGGUGAGCAGCAUUACUUGCUCUGUUUUUAAGUAGCUAUGAAGUUUGGCAUGAAAAUUUUGGGAUUUGAUUGGAUUGAACUUCAAAGUGAUCUUGCUUGUAACUUUUUUUGUGUAGAUUGAUGUCAUUGUUAGUCUUCUAAGCGGGAGACUUGUACGAGAACGCAUUGGUCCUGCAAUGCUAAGUGCGGUGCAAAGUCAAGUAUGUUUGCUUUCAGAGUUUUUCACCAUUUCCUUAUUUUUUUUAGGAUCUCCAUAGUUAUUAAUCCCUUCUUCUUGUCUUGUUUCUCCUGAUCAGAUGGGAGCUGUAGAUGCAGCCUUUGAUGAUCACACAAGCCUCUUUGAUACAGGAGGCUCAAAAGGAUUAACAGGAGAACUUGUUGAGAAAAUCCCAAAGAUGACAAUCACUGGCAACAAUAACACCGAUGCUUCUGAAAACAGAGACCCCUGUUCUGUUUGUCUUCAGGUUGUUUUAACAUCAUUUUACUUCGUUUUAGCUCAUUAUGUAGAAUCGCACAUCUAAUUAGCUCAUUACUUCUUGAUAUGUGAUUUUGCAGGAUUUCCAGCUUGGUGAAACAGUUCGAAGCUUGCCUCAUUGUCAUCACAUGUUUCACUUACCUUGCAUAGACAAUUGGCUCCUCAGACACGGUUCUUGCCCGAUGUGCAGACGUGACCUUUAAUCUCUCUCUCCAUUGUCCGUCUCUCAUAAUGUAGGCAAACGGCGCAGUUCAGAUGUUUUGACAGCUCUUACCUCAAGAAUCUGAUCUACUCUUCUUCCUCCUCGACUUUCAUGUAAAUUACAGUUCUUUUGGCUGUUUACGAUUACUAUACCUCUCUUUCUCUUUCAGAGUCUUUGUAUGACUCCUAGUUCUCUAAUGUUAUUAUCUUAGUCAGAGCCCAUGUACAAAGAAACACAAAAAAAAAAUAAAAAAAAAUAGAGUUUUUGUUUACUUAAUUCUUUAUUGUGGCUAAUGUUGUGUGACUUGUGUUCCAUUGAGCCAGAAACUAGUUGGUCGGCUUUUUCUUAAGCACUUGAAACAAAUGACACUACUCACGGGACUAAAUCCAUUGAACGAUAAUACUAGAUUCUUGUCUGGUGUAACCAAACUAAGUACUUGCGUAUUUAAAACACUCUUUGAUGUAAUUUGCUCUACCUAACAAUAUUUAACAUCAAUUGUUUUUUUGUGUGUGUGAAAAGUCGUUGUCUAGCACCAAACUGCAAUAUUCAAUCGUAACUAAUAUGACUCUAACUAAAAAUUUAUGACCUUUAAUUCUUCCGGUAGUUCUAGUACCCUAAACCCUCUCCUAACUCAGAGCCUUUUAGAACUCCUAGUACUCAUAACUUUUAUCACAUGGUAUUGUUUUUUUUGUCGCUAUUUACUUUCAGUUGUA
rnacentral:lncRNA from 1 species